rnacentral:lncRNA from 1 species
GGUCUGGUGAGGCUACAGGGAGUCGUGAGAGGCCAGAAUGUGAAGCGCCAGACAACAAAUGCAAUGAAAUGCAUGCAGCUGUUAGUGCGGGUUCAGUCACAGAUUCAGUCCCGGAGGAUCCAGAUGUUAGAAAACCAGGCACUCCAACGUCAAUCUCAAUACAAAAAUGACAAGGAACUGGAGAGCAGCAUAGGCAAAUGGGCCUCAAGCCAGCCAGUAAGUUUCCCUUUGUUUGAUUUAGUGUUGGAUUGUUUUUCAUUAUUAGAAGAGCACAUGCUUAAGGAUCAUUUGAUCGCUAUAGUCAAAGGGAAGACACUCAUCUACAUGAAAUCAUGCUUGUUUUUCGAUUUUGUUCUGUGUUUCAAUUAAGAUUAGUACAAUUGAUGAUGGGAUGGCAUUUGUACAGUCUGAGGCAGGUAACAAUGAAGACUGGGAUGAUAGCCAGCUGACGAAAGAGCAAAUAGAAGCUAGGUUGCAGAAAAAGGUGGAGGCAGUCAUCAAGAGAGAAAGAGCCAUGGCCUAUGCAUAUUCCCACCAGGUACUACUCUAUUAAUAUUAUUGGACAAUCAAUUUUUCGACAAGUUUAGGUUUUUACAAUUGGGGCAUACAAUGUAAAUAACAUUUUCUAACACCCUCCCUCACAUGCGGUCUCAUGCUUGCAUGUGGAGAAACAAAUAGUCCAAUAGGCAAAGAGCUCAAUAAAUUCAGGGAAAUAAAAGUUGCUGUGAAGUUUGAGUCUAUGACCUUUCUUUAAAGGGGGUUCUAAUACUGUAUCCGGUAACCAAUUUUCCCACAAGUUUAAGCUUUAAGGUUCAAGUCAUAAUGUAUAUCAUUCUUUCUAAUAGAUGCUACCCAGUUCAUAUUUUAUUUUAUCAUGUCGGAUAGGCUUCACUAACCCGAAUGACUUUUAGGCCUGGACAUUAGGAUACUGUUUAUCCAAUCAAGUAAAAUUUUAGUUCUGGUUGCCCUUUUCCAGUUCUUACACAGAAUAGAUUCCUGCACUCUCUAUACCUUUUCAAUUAUCUGAUAUCGUUUUAUGAUUUCACUAACCUGUGUUGACAGUUGUGGAAAGCCACCCCUAAAUCAGCUCAAGCAUCUAUAAUGGAUAUCCGAUCUGGGGGAUUCCCAUGGUGGUGGAACUGGUUAGAACGUCAGCUCCCUCCGGCAAAUCCUCCUGAAAGUCAAGCCACCAAGAGCAUCCUACUAACACCCACAAGACCGACUCCAGAUCUCAGGCCAAGUCCUCGACCCCAAGCAAGCAACUACAGGCAACAGAGUUUCGGGUUUGACAAUCUUGAGUCACUCACACCAAAGUCCUCAAAAUCAGCAGUACCUGCAAGAGCAAAGACCCCUCCAAAUAGAGUGCCACAAGCGAACGGCUCAAAUCUAUCAAGAUAUCCAAAGCCGAGAGCUAGUGCAGCUGAUUCUACCUUUGAUGUGCCACUGAGAGAUGAUGAUAGCCUCACCAGUUGCCCGCCAUUUUCAGUUCCAAACUACAUGACUCCAACAGUGUCAGCUAAAGCCAAAGUGAGAGCUAACAGCAACCCCAAGGAGAGGUAUCCAGUGACUCCCAGUGCUGAAUCAAAGAGGCGGCUUUCGUUCCCUUUGGGUCAAGGCAUUGGGUCUUUCAAGUGGAACAAAGGCACCUUGUUCUCUAGCAAGGAUUCCACCUCUCAGAGGGUGAUAGAGAGGCACCAGUCUCUGCAAUCUACUGGGAAUUUGAGUGUGGAUUCGACCGUUUCUUUGCCAGCUACAGUUGGGAGGAAGCCAUUUAACCGAUUUGUGUGAUCUCUUUACCCUUUUCUUUUGUUUUCUCAACCUUCUAAAUUUCAUAUUUGGCGAGUCUUUUCUUUUUUUCUUCAUAUUGUUAAUUGAGUGUAUGGUGAUAUCUUUACAAAUUACUGAUGUAUAAUAAUAAAGAUACAGUACUAGGAAUUGAUGGUUUGAAUGUAAGAUGAUUUGGGUUUUCAGAAGAUAUCUUGUUACAUUUCCUUUUGGAUUUCGAUAGCCUAAAAAGCAGGCCUUAUUUUCUGUUUGGUUGUUGAGAAAGUAGAGGAAAAAAACAUUGUGGUGUUUGGGACUCUAUUGAGGAGAGGUUUAAAAGGAAAUUAUCUGUAGAAAAAACACUACCUUUCCAAAGGAGGAAGACUUGUCCUUUUAAAGAGCAUUAUUUCAAAUCUCCCUGUUUAUUUUAUGUCCCUCUUUGUUAUUCCUAGAAAAGUGAGAAUUGGAUUAGAGAGAAUUCAAAGAGACUUUUUAUAGGGAGAUUUGAGAGAUAGGAGCAAGAUCUACUUGGUAAAAUGGUUAGAGUUAUUCCUAGAAAAGUGAGAAUUAUAUUAGAGAGAAUUCAAAGAGACUUUUUAUGGGGAGAUAGGAGCAAGAUCUACUUGGUAAAAUGGUCAGAUGUUUGUAAGGUUAAAAUUUUUUGGAGGUUUGGGGAUAAGAAGACUAUAUAGUCUCAAUCAAGCUUUGUUAGGCAAAUGACUAUGGAGAUUCUCUGUUGAGUGUGAAAGUUUGUGGAGGAAGAUCAUUUGUGGAAAGUUCGGGGAGGUGGAGGGGGGUUGGACUACUAGAUUGUGGAGGGAGUCCUUUGGGAAGACAUUAGAAAAGAGUGGGAAGAGUUUAUUGCUAGAACUUCUAUCUAUAUAGGAAAUGGUAGUCAUACAAGCUUUUGGUGGGACACGUGGGUGGGGGACUUCAAGCUAAAAGAUGUUUACCUUACUAUUUUUAGGAUAACUUCCCAUAAAAAUGCUAUAGUUGCAAAAUCUUGGAAAAGAGAAGGGGAUGAAGGGGGUGUUGGGAGGUUCAUUUUAGAAGACCCUUCCAAGAUUGGGAGGUAGAGGAGGUGACCCACUUUUAGGGUUCUCUUGACUUGUUAAAAGUACAAGAAGGUGAGGACACUUUAUGUUGGAAAGAAGAUGUUAAGUCUUAUUAUUGUUCUCUAAGUGGGGAGAAUAAUUUUGUUUUUCCGGGGAAGGAGGUUUGGGGAUCCCAUGCUCCUCUCAGAACUUGCUUUUUUGCUUUGGAAGCUAUUUGGGGGAAGAUCCUAAUUAUAGAUACCUUAAUGAAAAGGGGAUGACAAAUAGUCAAUAAAUGUAAUCUAUGUAAAGAGAGUGAAGAAUUAGUCAAUCACAUUCUGAUUCAUUUCGUCAAGACAAGAAAGCUUUGAACCUUUUUAUUAGCCUUCUUUGGAGUGACAUGGGUAUUUCCAAAUUCAGUAAUAAAUCUCCUUCUUCAAUGGAAAGUUAAGGGGUUGCAAAAGAAGAUUAGAGCAUUGUGGCGCUUAGCUCCCAUUUGUUUAUUUUGAUGUGUUUGGAAAGAGCAUAAUCGAAGAACCUUCAAAGAUGAAUAUCUCUUUGACCAGGGUUUAAAGGAUCUCUUCUUUCGAAUUCUUUUUGAGUGGACUAGGGAUUCUUUGGAGCUGAAUUUCCCCUCUAUGUUGAUUUUCCUUGAUACUCUUUUUUGUGGUUAACUUUGCUGUGUUUUGUUUGUGGUCUUUCUUUGGUUGAGGUGUGUUUGGCUUGUUUCUGUGUAUACAACCUAUAUACGUAAGGCGCCCCCAACUCUUUUUUGGUGCUUAUUAAUGCAUGCUCUUGUUGUCUACAAAAAAAAAAAAAAAAAAAAGGAAAGUUCAGAAAAAAAGGUCAAUAUUUUCACUAUUGAAUUUGUUGUUCUUUUGGCUUAUACUCAUAAAACAAUGCCAAAAUAAUGCAGAAAGACCUCCUGUGAUGAACUUGUCUAAUUUUGGCGUGUCUCCUUUUUCUUCUGAGUUGUCUUACAGAGAAAAAUAUUAUGAAUCAUGGAAGUAGCACCUUCUGAGUUGUCUUAUAAAGAAAAAUAUUAUGAAUCAUGGAAGUAGCAGCUAGGGCAACUUAAAGCAUGCAUUGUUCGCAAAUUGACAAACAAUUUAUCUCAAUUUAUUUUAGGCUAGAAUUUCAACACCCCAUUACACAUUCACCCUCUUCUCAACCAUCUCCGCGUGGUUGUUGUUGAUAGCGAAAUUCCUUCACUGCAGUAGCAAGUACUAGCAACAGAAUCUCGAUCAACGCAUUACAGUGAUCCUUCCUUCCUCCUGCAAAAAGAUGUCCGGAUGGGUUGUCCGGACACACUCUCCGAUGAUUAAGUUAGUCUUUUGGAAGCUAUUUGAAAACAAAUUGUUCCUUUGGGAGUGUUGCUCCGUGAUUUUCUUCAAGGAUCCUUACCCUCCUGAGAGUCUCCUUAGAGUUUAUAUAUGAUUCAGAGAGUAUGGCCUCGCUGUGCUAACGGGUCCCAUCGUCAUGAUUGCGGCUCAUAGGGUGGUGAAGCAAUCAUGACCCUUUUGGUGCGAGGUGGCGGCUGUCAGAAGGGUAUUCAGGCGGCGGUGGUCACCUCAAUUUAUGAUUUUAGGUACCGGGGAUGCGUCAGGCAAUCUGAGAAGAUUUGGGAAUGUCUUGUCGAGCGUAUCUCGUAUUGAAGAUGAGUGAUAGUUCAGGAGACUUGGUCGACAGUAUUGUUGGAGUUUGCUUCUUGAUUGUGGGCAGAAAUGGAUCCGGCAAAUCAUGAGUGUUUGACGAGUCAAGUUGUCCAGGGAAUCUGAAUCGUUGACUGCGGAUGUACUCCGGGUAAGCGUUACCAAAGGAUCCGGACAUGUCUAACCGGGGAAGUUGAAUCGCACUUCUCUCCCAUCCGGUGGCAGGCGCCGACUAUGAUAUAUCCGGAGAUGGUGGAACGUCGGCCGUACAGAAUUUCCCUCCGGGUGGAAUGAGCGAUGCUACGUGUCGCAAGGGGGGCCGUCUGCGUGUCCAAGGGAUAGGGAGCCACGUGGCACUUUUUGGGGAGGAUCUCACAGUUGUGAGGAAAAUGAAGCUUUGGUACCAUGUUAAAUUGUUACUUGACCUAAAAACUUAGAUUAUUAGAUAAUAAGCCAAGAAUAUAUAUCAAAUUGGCUGAGGUGAAAACCUUAACAGCCGUUUUUGGAAUCCUUAGACAUGGCUAAUGAGCUUUUAGAUGGAUGUACCAAGUGGUCAUUCUUAAGUCAUGCUAUCAAUUGAUGGAUCGUAGUUGAGCAGUGUUAGGUGAUUAUUAUCAUAAAUGUAUGGUUGAGCAGUCACAGAUUAGCAAUUGAAAAGAAAGAUUUUCCAGGACUGAGCUGAAUUCAGAGAAGAAAAUAUACAUAGAAUUUGAUUGAAACGUCUACAAACAAGCAAGUUGAGAAGUACAUUAUUACCGAAGUAUCUCUGCUGUCUAUCAGCUACCAACUUGUCAUUCUACUGUGGUAAUCCCUCUAUCUUGAACUGAUGAAUGCUCCUAGGGAAAGACAUGUAUCACAUUGAACUUUCGAUUAAGGUAGCAACAAGGAAGCAUAAGCUAGCAUAAUAGCCUUUCAAGGGUUUUUAUCUAAAGAACAACUUGCUCUUAUGAGGGUUUUCUCCUCCAAGUUGCCUUUCCAUAUGUCUAAAUCCACCCAAGGGGUCUUUUUCACUAGUUAAUGAGUUUACUACAGUCUGAUUGAAUCCCAUGAACAUGCAAUUCUAUAUAUAAGGACUAUCUAAAUAUGUUUAGCAUUCAAGCCUCUUGUCCAGACUAGAAGGUCAGAAAAUGGCUCUCGAUUUGAAUCCCUUGCUUUCUUUUACUUUCCUGCAAAUGGGUUAUCAUACAUCUCCCAAAUUCUCCAUGGCCUCAACGCACCGCUCUGUAUUCAGGUGACUGUGUUCUUCACUUCUUACAAAAGUUUACAGAAUGUUCAUACCAUUUAGUAGAAAAUGACAAGUACCUAUGUUCAUCGUUUCAUCCUAACCAGUGUCUAACCCUUGUAAAAAGACGGAUUUGAAUUGUCAGUACCAAAUCCAAAUUUCUUCUGUUUAAUGCAGGGAGGUUAAGAAUCCAAACAAGCCUUUAGCUCUCCUCACAAGGUGCAAGUAACCCACUCAAUGCCACCACACAAGAUUGAGAUUUUCAAAUCCAUGGAGAAUUGGGUUGAGGAGAACGUUUUAAUUCACCUGAAGCCAGUUGAGAAAUGUUGGCAACCUCAGGACCUUCUGCCUGAUCCUGCAUCUGAUGGAUUUCAUGAGCGAGUCAAGGAGCUACAGGGACCCCGGAUGACUACUUUGUUGUUUUGGUUGGAGAUAUGAUCACUGAAGAAGCCCUUCCAACUUACCAAGCACAGAUCAAUAUCACUGAUGGAAUUCGUGAUGAAACAGGGGCAAGCCCCAGCUCAUGGGCAACUUGGACAAGGGCAUGGACCGCUGAAGAGAACAGGGACGGUGACCUUCUUAAUAAGUAUCUCUAUCUGUCUGGAAGAGUAGACAUGAAACAAAUCGAGAAGACGAUUCAGUAUUUGAUUGGGGCUGGAAUGGUGAGAUUCUUGCUACAUGCCCUUUUUUUUUUUUUUUUCUGUAGUCAGUCACAAUCUUCACUAGUUCUUGAACUCAAGUUCUUCUUCUCCAUCUUUUCAUAGGAUGUGCAGAUGGAAAACAAUCCGUACCUUUUAUUCAUCUAUACUUCAUUUCAAGAAAGGGCAACCUUCAUAUCCCAUGGCAAUACUGCCAGGCUCGCCAAUCAACAUGGGGACAAGAGCUUGGCUCAAAUAUGUGGCAUAAUAGCCUCAGAUGAGAAGCGCCAUGAAACUGCCUACACCAAGAUAGUGGAAAAGCUCUUUGAGAUUGAUCCCAAUGGAACUGUUUUGGCUUUUGCAGACAGGAUGAGGAAAAAAAUCACCAUGCCGGGCCUCUUGAUGUAUGAUGGCUGUGAUGACGACCUUUUUGAACACUUCUCAGCAGUUGCUCAGAGGCUUGGUGUGUAUACUGCCAAGGACUAUGUCGAUAUCUUAGAAUUCUUUGUGGAGAGAUGGAAUGUGGAAAAGCUAACUAGGCUUUCUAGUGAGGGGCGAAAAGCUCAGGAUUAUGUUUGUGGUUUAGCUAAAAGAUUGAGAAAGCUGGAGGAGAGAGCUCAAGAAAAGGCUCAGCAAGCACCCACCAUUCCUUUCAGUUGGAUCUUUGAUAGAGAAGUGAAACUCUGAGUGCAAAAUUGAAGAAAAAGACUUUGGUUCCUUUUAUUUUUAGUUAUCUUUUUUCCUCCACUUGGAAGAUAUUUGAGAUUUUUUUUUUAAAUUCUCUUUGGUCUAUAAUUGGAAAUAUUAAUUUUAUUUGCAAAAUUAAAUUUUAUAGUCUUUCAAAUUUCACUAUGUAUCACAUUUUGAAUAUAUACUAGACGUCAAAUGUGUGUGACUUACUACUUGUCGAGCUCAAAUUUUAUUGAAUUGAGAAGUCAUAAUUUUGAAGAUUAAUUUAGUGAUAAUUCAAUUCACUAAUUUUUUUUUUUGAUGUUUAUAGCAACCAAAAAAUUGUUUUUUUUUUUUUUGUGUUCUUAAAAAUAGAAAAUAGGGUGUUUUCAAAAAACACCUUUUAGUUCUUUUAAGUUGUUUUCACUUAUUUUGUAAAUUUUUUUUUAAAAAUAAUUAUACAAAUAUGAAGAAUGAUUAAAAAUAAAACCUUAUAUAUAAUUUUUUUAAAACAUAUAUAUAAUUUUUUUAAAACAUAUUUAAAAAUAUUUAAAACAUAUUAAAAACAUUUUAAAUUUCCAAGCACAUUUUGUUUUAUAAAAUAUUAAAAAAUAGUUUUCAAAAACUGUUUUUGAAAAUAAUUAUCAAAUGAACCCUUAAUUUCUUUUAAAUUGAUUUAAGAAAACAGUAUAUAUAUAUAUAUAUAUAUAUAAGUAAAACAUGAGAAAUGUUAAAUUCAUAAAUUUGAAGAUUAUUUUAUCCCCUUUAACUAAUUAAUUCUUAGAAAGAAAAAACUCAUUUAAACUUGCUUAGACUGACUUUUGAAAAACCAUUUUUUUUUUAUAAAAAAAUUCAAUAAAAGCUUGUAAAUUUGUUUGGCAAAUUUGGUCUAAAAAUUUUAUGAUUUUAAAAAAAGUUUAAUAUAAAAAGGUAAAAAAUAUUGCUUUUUAUAGAAGUUAUGUUUUAUCUAAUACAAAAAAAAAAAAAGUUUAAUAAAGCUUUUACAAUAUCAACAUCGUCAUUUUAAAAAACUUUGAUGAUGUUCUUUUAUAAACUAUUACAUAAAAUAAAAAUAUUUCUAAAAUAACAUUUUGAGUGAUUUUUUUUAUAUUUUUAAAAGUUUUUCAAACAUCUAAUUUUGUGAAGUGUUUUCAAAUAUUCAAAAGCACUUUUAACUUUAUUAAAACCACUCUAAAAUGAACUCUUGGAAUUAAAAUUGAUUUUGAGAGGAUUAGAAGUGUUUCAAUGAUGAUGGUAGCAAUGUUGUAUAUUCUAUAAAGUUUAUUUGAUGGUGAUUUUAGAGUGUUAGAAGCAUUUUUUAUUAUUUGAAAAUACUUACUUAUAGAAACUAGAUGUUUGACAAACUUAAAAAUGUUUAAAAAAAAUUAUUUUCUUAUGUUUAAUUUAUUAUGAAAAAUAUGAAAAAAAAAUCAAUUAAAAACUUAUGCCUUUCAAAUUGUUUUCUAGAGUAUUUAAGGAAUAAUUGAGAAUAAUGGAAAAUACUUUGAAAAGAAGAAAAAUAUUUUUAAGCAGUAGCAGUAGCAGAUUAGCAAUUAAAAAGAAGGAUUUUCCAGGACUGAGCUGAAUUCAGAGAAGAAAGUAUGCAUAGAAUUUGAUUAAAACGUCUAUGAACAAGCAAGAUGAGAGGUACAUCAUUACAGUACUAUCUCUGCUGUCUGUCAGCUAUCGACUCGGCUUUGUACAGUGGUGAUCCCUCCAUCUUGAGAUGAAAUCACCAACACUUCCAUUAGGCCUUCACAAGGGAGUUUGCACAUCCUAGUUGCUACUUAGUAUACUGAGUGAAUGACAGAUCCCUUGGGGGACCGAAUAAACUCCUUAGUAAUAAAGUCUAAGGCAUCUUAAUGAACUGAUGAAUGCUCCAAGGGAAAGACGUGUAUCCCAGUGAGCUUUGGCUUUAUCUAGACACUACUUGUUCUUAUGAGGGUUUUCUCCUCCACGUUGCUUUUCCAUAUGUCUAAAUCCACCCAAGGGGUCUUCUUCACUAGUUAAUGAGUUUACUUCAGUCUCAUUGAAUCCCAAGAACAUCCAUUUCUAUAUAUAAGGACUAUCUAUAUAUAUUUAGCAUCCAAGUCUCUCUUCCAGAGUACAAGUGAAGUCAGAAAAUGGUUCUCAAUUUGAAUCCCUUGCUUUCUCUUACUUUCCUGCAAAUGGGUUUUCAUUCAUCUCUCAAAUUCUCCAUGGUCCCCAUGCACCGCUCUGUGUCCAGGUGAGUGUGUUCUUCACUUACAGAAGUUUACGGAAUGUUCAUACCAUUUAGAAGAAAAUGACAAGUGCCUAUGUUCAUUGUUUCAUCCUAACCAGUGUCUAACCAGACGGAUCCAAAUUGUAAGUACCUAAUCUGAAUUUCUUCUGUUUAAUGUAGGGAGGUUAAGAAUACAAAGAAGACUUCUGGCUCUCCUCACAAGGUGCAAGUAACCCACUCAAUGCCACCGGCCCACCACACAAGAUUGAGAUUUUCAAAUCCAUGGAGAAUUGGGUUGAGGAGAACGUUUUAAUUCACCUGAAGCCAGUUGAGAAAUGUUGGCAACCUCAGGAUUUUCUGCCCGAUCCUGCUUCUGAUGGAUUUCAUGAGAGAGUUGAGGAGGUAAAGGAGAGGGCAAAGGGGAUCCCGGAUGGCUACUUUGUCAUUUUGGUUGGAGAUAUGAUCACUGAAGAAGCCCUUCCAACUUACCAAACACAGAUCAAUAUCACUGAUGGAAUUCGGGAUAAAACAGGGGCAAGCCCCAGCUCUUGGGCAACUUGGACAAGGGCAUGGACCGCUGAAGAGAACAGGCACGGUGACCUUCUUAGUAUCUCUAUCUGUCUGGAAGAGUAGACAUGAAACACAUCGAGAAGACGAUCCAGUAUUUGAUUGGGGCUGGAAUGGUGAGAUUCUUGCUGCAUACUUUUUUACUGUUUUAUCUCCAAAACCACAAUGUAGUGACUGCUUUUGGUAUCUCUAUCAGUCACAAUCUUCACUAGUUCUUGAACUCAAGUUCUUUUUCUCCAUCUUUUCAUAGGAUGGGCAGAUCGAAAACAAUCUGUACCUUUUAUUCAUCUAUACUUCAUUUCAAGAAAGGGCAACCUUCAUAUCCCAUGGCAACACUGCCAGGCUCACUAAGCAACAUGGGGACAAGAACUUGGCUCUAGUAUGUGGCAUAAUAGCCUCAGAUGAGAAGCACCAUGAAACUGCCUACACCAAGAUAGUGGAAAAUCUCUUUGAGAUUGAUCCCAAUGGAACUGUUUUGGCUUUUGCAGACAGCAUGAGGAAGAAAAUCACCAUGCCGGGCCUCUUGAUGUAUGAUGGCUGUGAUGACGACCUUUUUGAACACUUCUUAGCAGUUGCUCAGUGGCUUGGUGUGUAUGCUGCUAAGGACUAUGUUGAUAUCUUAGAAUUCUUUGUGGAGAGGUGGAGUGUGGAAAAGCUAACUGGGCUUUCUAGUGAGGGGCAAAAGCUCGGGAUUAUGUUUGUGGGUUAGCUUAAAGAUUGAGAAAGCUGGAGGAGAGAGCUCAAGAAAAGGCUAAGCAAGCACCCACCAUUCCUUUCAGUUGGAUUUUUGAUAGAGAAGUGAAGCUCUAAGGGCAAAAUGGAGUCACUAUAUGUAGUUUCUAGGUCGUGUUCUCAAAGAUUUAUCCAGUAAUAUACAAGUGUAAGGCAUCUAUGUUUCUCUAUCUCAAUUUCAAUAAUCACGAUCUCAUCUCAUUUCACUUCUUAGAAUGCUACAAACUCGAGCAGUGCCAUUUUUUUUUCUUUCACUAUAGGACAUUGGUAAAAGCAUCCUUAGCAAAAAGGAAAUGAUAGGACACUAUACAUCUAACAACCCUUUUUAAACUGGUUUUGCUGGUUUUAUUUUGGGUAUUUUUGAAUAAGCCCAAGUUUGGCAAUUGUUGCUUGAUUUUGUUCUGUGAUUUUUGCUUUCCUUUUAUUUUUUGCUGAGUCAAUGACUCUUAGGUAUAAAGGGACUGAUUCUUUUGCAAGGGAUUAUGAGAAGAUCAUCCAAUAAAAAGUUCUAUUUUUUUAGUCAAUAUGUCUUCUUCUUCCUAGCUGUUUCAUUGGUUUCAAAACGACAACCAGGCACCAAGUAAUGGUGGAUGGUAUCAAAGCUCUGACGAUUGUUGAUCUGAGGUCUCCUUCAAUCACUUUACAGAAUCCUCUAGUUCCAUCUGCCAUUACUUGAUACCAGGUUGUAGCUCUGAUACCAAUGAAACAGCCAGGAAAAAGAAGACACAAAAUUGACUAGAAAAAUGGAACUUUUUAUUGGAUAAUCUUCUCAUAAUCCCUACCAAAAGAACCAGCCCCUUUAUACAUAAGAGUCAUUGCAAAAAUCUGGGAAUAAAAUCAAGCAACAAUUACCAAACUUGGCCUAUCUAAAAAUACCCAAAAUAAAACCAGUAACCCCAAUUUAAAAUGGGUCUUUACAGUACAUAUUCCAAUCUAGGAAGCGGCUUAGAGAGCUCAGCACGUGGGUGGUAGUGGAGAAGGAAAUUAUGGCUCCUUAAUAAAUGCAAAUGUAGCCCCAGGGAAUGAGCCAAAAUUUUUCUCUAAAAGUUUUCUGUUCAUAAUUUAGAGCCGCUCUGCUCCGACCCAAAGAAGGGUCGAUUCGGUAAUAGGAAAAGCAAAGACGAUAGCGAGUGACCUACAGCAUUCGUAGAUAGGACUUCGCCAAAAUUUUCCUCUGAAAGUUUUCUGAUCAUAAUUUACUUCUCAGUGCCUGAACCCUUCUGCAGUAUCUUUUCUAAUUAAUGAAUUUCUUGAAAUGGGGCAGUUUCAUCGAAUGUCAUCAAUUUCUAUAUCCAUGUAUAUGUAGCAUCUAAGUAGCAAACUGAACCUAAGAAAAAGCAGAGGAAGUGAAAGUCCAGAAAUGAAUUUCAACCUAAACCCCCUUACCUUUCAACCCGGGAAGUUUCCUUCUCUUUCUCUCCGUCCCAGAUCUUCCAAUGUCUCCAUCGCUUCCACCAUCACCUCUGGUUCCGAGUGAGUGUCUUUCGUCGAAAUGUUCCUUUAAAAAUUCAUUUGAUUCUCAAAAUAUUCUAUGAGUGGAUAGAUCUUACCGAUGUUCAUUGAAAACAGGAGGAAGCAAAGGCCAAAAGUAUGCAUCAUUUUUAAGGCACAACCAACAUGAAUAGCAGCCAAACAGCCCAAUUGACCACAUGAAUCUUUUUUUUUUUUUUUUUUCUUUUUCUUUUUCCGGUUUCCUAUACUUUCUCGGCAACCAAACGGGUUGGGAGAAUAGGGGAAAGUGAAGGCAGCAACUUGUUCGCUGAUUUGUACAAGGCCAACCUUCAAUGCAAGUAAUUGCGUCAUUCGAUGAUAAUCAACGCUCUCGCUCUGAUAAUUGGCUACGGCAACCCUAUGAUUGGUUUCCAAGAAAAUGAUAGAAAAACAAACACACAGAAUCUGAGACUAAUGCUUGGGAGACGAUCCAAAAAAGUCAAAACAAUCAUACUGCACUUUAGAUGGUGGUCUGUGAAUUGGGCCGUAGGUAUGACAGUGGGCUAGGCCCAACUAUAACGGAAAACUUUUUUUUUCUUUUAAAAAUUCAAAUAUAAAAAAUGAUUUUCUUUGCUUAUUCUACAGAAGGGAGUAAACAAAAAUUCCCGACCUAGUAUCCAUAAAUAUAUAUUACAAGUAAGGGUCUCCAACGGGCGGGCCGGGCCGCAGGCUUUUUUAAAUAAGCCAAAAUGACUUUUAAAUAAAGGAAGGGAGAGGGGGGGAUUCGAACCCCUCCCCUUAAGCUUAAAUUUUAAGGCUUCAACCAACUGAGCAACAUUCUUUUUGUACUUAUUAAAUGAGUUAGUUAUAUAUAUAUAAAAAUAAAGUAUAUUAUUUUUUUAAAAAAAAUUAAAGGCUCCAUGUGAGUCAUGUGACCGUUGGGGCUAAGCCUCCAACGGUCACAUGACCAAUUUUUUUUUUUUUUAACCUUCCUAUAAAUACAUUUUCUUCCUUUUCAUUUUUUCAUCAAAUUCUCUCUAUUUCUCUCUCUAUUUCUCUCUCUAUUUCUCUCACAUUCUACAAUAUUUCAAAUUCUUUUAUUUUUCCCUCAAAUUAUACAAUAUUGUUGGUGGUGCAAAACAAGUAUUGGUGGCUCUAAGAGUUCAAAUUUGCUAGGAAUUUCUGCAUCGGUUCUCUAAUUGAGUAACAUACUUCACCCCUACUACUUUAUUUUUUUGUUACAUUUUUUUUAUAUUUAUUACUUUAUUAUUUUUGGCAUAAUAUUUUAUCAAUAAUUAUAAUAUGACAAGUGCUUCUUCAUCUAGUCCAUGUGAUGAAAUAUCAUCAAACAAAAAAUUUACUUCAAAUAUAGAAAUAAUUUUAAAAAAUAAUAAAAAAGAAAUAAAAGCAAAAUGUAAAAUUUGUAAUAAAUUUCUUACUGGUGGCUCAAAUACAGGCACAAGUCAUUUAAAAAGACAUCACGAAAAUUGUAAAACUAAAAAUAAUGUAGAUAUUAGAAAUUAUAUGCAAUUAGGUAAAAAUGAAAGUAGAAAUUUAAAAACAUUUUCUUAUGAUGAAUCUAACUGUCGUGAAGAAAUGAUUGAUUAUAUAAUAAGAGCAGAACAACCUUUCAACAUGAUGGAAACUCAUGAUUUUGUAGGAACAAUUCAACGAGGUAUUAAUCCUCAAUUUAAAGGUUGGUCUGGAAAUACAGUUAAAAGAGAUAUUAUGAAAAAAAUUUAUACACAAAAAGAAAUUUAAAAUUUUUUUUUUGCAAAUUUUGAAGGAAAUAUUUGUUUAACAUCUAAUAUUUGGACAUCUUUAAUUCACACUGGUUUUUUAUGUAUAACUGCUCACUACAUUGAUAAUGAAUGGAAAUUAAAUAAAAGAAUAAUUUCAUUUAAAUUAAUAAAUGCUCCACAUAGUGGCAAAAAUAUAACAGCUUUAAUAAAUGAUGAAAUUAUAGAUUUAGACAUUCGUGAUAAAAUAUUGACAAUAACAUUAGAUAAUGCUGCUAAUAAUGAUAUAGCAAUACAUAGACUAAAACGAUAUUGGCAAGUAAAAGAAGAUCAUGCUAAAAUAUUUCAUGUGCGUUGUUGUGCACAUAUUUUAAAUUUAAUUGUAAAUGAUGGAUUAAAAAAUGUUGAUAGUACAUUGGAAAAAAUUAGAGGCAUUGCAUAUAGUAUUAAUAGUUCUCAAGCAAAACAUGAAUUAUUUUUUGAUUGUUGCAAAAUGUUAAAUAUGAAAAGAAAAAAUAUAAAUUUGGAUAUGGCCAUUAGAUGGAAUUCCACAUAUAAACUUUUACAAAAUAUUACAAAAUAUAGAAAAGUAGUCGAAUUAUAUGAAAUACAAUUAAUUAACAAUGAUUGUGAAACAGAUAUUUAUGCAUUAAAUGAUUAUGAUUGGCAUAUUGCGGAUCUUUUAAGAGAUCUUUUUGAAAUUUUUGAUACUUCAACAAACAUUUUUUGUGGUGUAUAUUAUCCAACUUCAAAUCGAGUUAUUACGCAAAUAACUAAUAUUUUUAUUGUACUUCAAAAAUAUUUAAGUUUUGAAAUAUUUAAUGAUACAAUAUUUGCAAUGAUAGAAAAAUUUAGAAAAUAUUGGGGAGAAAUACCUUUAAUUUUUUAUAUUGCUUUAAUUGUGGACCCUAGAUUGAAAUUUGAAGCUUUGGAUGAAUGGUUAACAAUUAUUUAUUUUAAUGACCAAAUAAAAAUUGAAGAAAUUAAAAAUGAAAUAAAUUCAUUAUUAUAUAAUUUAUAUAACUAUUAUAAAGAAAAAUAUGGUAAUGAUAUUAAUACUAUUAAAUUACCACCUACAAACUCCUCAUCUUUUUAUAAAGGAGCUCUAGAAAUGUUGAAAAGUCGAAAAAAGACAACAAAUAGUUCUCCAAAUAAUACAUCUGAUUUAGAUAAAUAUCUUAAUACUGAUAUAAUUUCAUUUGAAGAUCAAGAAGAUUUUGAUAUUUUAAUAUGGUGGAAAUCACAUCAACACAAAUAUCCUGUGCUUUCUAUAAUUGCUCGUGAUGUACUAACAGUUCCUGUGAGUACAGUUGCAUCAGAAGCUGCUUUUAGUGCAGGUGGAAGAGUAGUUAGUAAAAAACGAUGUAACUUAGCGCCAGAUGUUAUUGAAGCAGGGAUAUGUGUGAAAGAUUGGGAAAUAGCAGAUAAAAGGAUGUACGAUUCCAUUUGAGAAACAGAGAUGCUUGCCGAUAUGGAAUCUUUAAAAUUAUCAAGAUCUUCAUGGAUGCAUGAUAGUUCGCCAUCACCGCCAGAAAAUAAUGACUAAAUGUAUAUUAUAUUUUUAUUUUUAUUUUUUGUGGUUGAAAAAUACAGAUGAUUGACAAAUAAAUAGGUGCCAACCUAGUUGGGAUGUAUUUAUUUUGUAGUGAUGUAAACUUUUCCCACAUUUUUAAAUGUAAUUAUACAUUCAAUGAAUAAAAUUUUGAAAUGAAUAUUUUUUUACUUUUUAUUUUUGUAGUUUUUUUUUAAAGGGGCGGGCCUAAGGGCGGGCCUACGGGCCGGCCCGGCCCGCCCAUAAACGGGCUUGGGCCGGGCUUUAGCCCGUCGGGCCGAGCCGGGCCUAAAGUGGGCCGCGGGCUUUUUGGAGACCAUUAAUUACAAGCAUAUUUUAAAAAUCAUUUCUUAGAAAAAUAAAGUGUCGUUUCCAAAAACAUCCUUCAACAAUGGUUUUGAAAACAUAAUUUUUUAGAAUAAUAUUUUAAAAUUGUUUUACAAUGAUUUGUAAAACAAAAGUUUGAGAGUUUGAAAUGUUUUUGACAUAUUUUUAAUAUUUUUAAAUAUGUUUUAAAAAUAAUUUUUAUAUUUAGUACUUUAUUUAAAAAGACCGAAAUAAGAAUUAAAAAAAUGCUAUUUAAAAACAUCAUAUUUUUUAUUUUUAAGAAUAAAAAAUAGAAAAUAAAUUUUUGAUUCUCAAAGUUUUUUUUUUUUUGAGAACAUAAAACUGUUAUAAAAAAAUAAUUGUCAAAUAAGGUCUUAUUUUUUUACACUCAAGCCUCCCACCCACCUACAAUUCCAAAAAAACAUCAUUUUUUUUUUGUUUUAUUUUGACAAAAAUGUCCUCCUUAAUUUCUUGUAAAAAUAAUUAUUUCUUUUAAAACCUACAUGAAAUAUUUAAAAUAAUAAAAUACAUUUAUGUCAAUAAUGAGUUAUUUUUCAAAUAAAAAUAUAAGAAUAAUUAGAUUCAUAAAUUUGGGAUUAUUUCAUAUUUUUUAACUAAUUAAUUCUUAAAAAUAAAAAAAUCACUUAACCUUAUUUAAAUGGACUUUUGAAAAGCCAAUUAUUUUUCAAUUCAAUAAAAGCUUUUUUUUUUCUUUUUUUUUUUUUUUUAAAAAGCUUAAUAUAAAAGGUAGAAAAAUAUUGCUUUUUAUAGAAGCUAUGUUUUAACUUUUAUUUUAUCUAAUACAAAAAAAUUAUUUAUGUUUAAUAAAGCUUUUAAAAUAUCAAUAUUGUCAUUUAAAAAUGAUUACAUAAAAAGAAAAAUUGAAAUAAUAUUUUGAGUGAUUUUUUAUAUUUUUUAAAAAUUUUCAAACAUCUAUUUUUGUAAAAACAUGUUUUCAAAUAUUCAAAAACACUUUUAACUUUAUUAAAAUCACUCUAAAAUGACCUAUUGGACUUAAAAUUGACUUUAAGGAAUUAGAAAUGUUUUGAUGACGGUGAUAGCAAUGUUAUAAGUUAUAUUGGGUUUGUUUGAAUCGUUUGAUAGUGAUUUUAGAGUGUUAGAAACGUUUUUUAAUAUUUGAAAAUACUUUCUUAUAGAAAUUAGAUGUUUGACAAACUCAAAAAAUGUUUAAAAAAAUUAUUUUUUCAUGUUUGAUUUAUUAUGAAAAAUAUGAAAAAAAAAUCAAUUAAAACUUAUGUCUUCUCAGAUUAUUUAAUUAUUCUAAAAAAAUAUAAAAAAUAAGUAAAUUAUUUUGAAAAUUUCUUUUUUUUAAAUCAAUAACAAUUUUUUCUUACUCUUUUAUCCUUCUUCCAUUUUAGCUCAUUAUCAUGUCAUUUAAGCUUAAAAAUAUGUGUUCAAUUUAAACUUAAUAAUAAUUUGAAAUGGGUUUAAGUGAGUCCUGAAAAAAAAACCAAUAAAUAAAGUCAAUAAGUUUAAUCUCUGAUUAAAUUAUAAUUAAUGUAUUAAUUAAAAAACUAAUUUAUGAGAUUAUGAGAAAUAAAUGAGGGGAGAAGAUACAAGAACAAACUCGGUGAAUAAUAGUUAGGAUUUAGAAAAAAAAUAUUUAUUUUAACUUAUUAUUUAAAGUUAUAUUUAGCUUUAAAUUGCAAUAUUAUGCCAUUUUAUCAAAUAUUUUUAAUGAUUGAAAUUAACUUAUUAAUUGUUUUUGAACACAUUUUCAAUUUUUAUUUUUAAAAUAAGAGCUCUUACAUGAAAAGUAAAAUCUUAUGUUUUUAAAAAAUCAGUUUUAAAAUUUUUAAAUUUUUUAAAAACUAUCUUAUUUUUAAAAUAAGUCUCUAAAAACUCUUAAAGUGCGUUUAAGAGUGAUUGUAAAAAGCGUUUCUAGUAUAACAUUUAUGAUAAAAAUUUUCAAGUAUUAGAAAUAUUAAAAACGCUUCUUAAAAUCAUUACCAAAUAAGUUCUUAAAUUGUAUGUCAAAAUUGAUAUUAUUUUUGUUUCUAAAAAUAAAAUUGAAGAAGUCCAUCUAAAUAAUAUUUAAGUCAUAUCCAACUCAUAUUAAGUCAUAUCCAACUUAGUUGGUAUCGACUUAAUUAUUGAAGCCAUAUGUUAAUAUUCUUUUAAUGCAUCAACCUCCACUCAAUUAAUACAACCUCAUACGAGGCUUUCCAAGCCAAAGUCUAUUGUUGAGUCUUGAAUGUUAAUAAAUGGAACUAAUCCCAACAAUAAAGUCUUAUGCCACAUGCCAAUUUCAAUAAUUCGUGAAAAAUGACCAACUUUAUGUCAACAAAUCUUAUUUAUACAGGCUUCAACUCCUUCAAUAAUUACUCUCAUAAAUUAUAAAAAUUACCUUAUACUUUCAGAUCUGCCUUAAUUCAUCUCUAAGGGAUUUUUUUUUUUAUAAAAAAAAUAAAAAUAAAAAGCAAUAUCAACCCUACACUAGUUUCAAAGAUGAAUAAGUUCUUAUGAUUGGAACAUAGACAAAUUAAAAAUAAAUAAACAUAUCAUAUAAUGUUCGAAAAAAUAAACAAACAUCUAUUAUCGUAACAUAGACACACGUUAUCUAUCUUUAGUGUUGAGCAUGGUGAUGGUGGUAAAGUUGCAAAGCCUUUUUACUCUAGAGGAGUAAAAAAGGGCCUUGAUGGCGACGAAGACAAAACGUGGGGUGGAUGGUAGUUGAAUAUUGGUGAUGGUGGAAUUUAUUAGAGUACUAUUUGGAAUCUAUUUGGUAGUAAUUUUAAAAGGAAUUAAAAGCACGGUGAAUUGUUUUGUAGUAGUAAUUUUAAUGUUUGAAAAUGAUUUUUUUUUUCUUCUUGAAUUUAGAAACAUAUUUAGCAAUGAUUCUUGAAAACGGUUUUUGAUUCUUUAGAAUAGAACAAUGUUUUCUAACUAUAUGUUUCAGAGAAAAUAAUUUUGUUAAAAAUGCAUAGCAUUAGUAGAUUAGCAAUUAAAAAGAAGGAUUUUCCAAGAUAGGGCUGAAUUCAGAGAAAGAAAAUAUGCAUAGAAUUUGAUUAAAAUGUCUAUAAACAAGCAAGUUGAGUUUUAGGGCAAAAUAAUCCUUUUAUAAAAUAAAAAUGUAAGGUAUAGCCCCUUCGUAAAACUUAUGUUCAAACUGUCCGAUUCAUUGCCGUAUAAAAGUCAUGCCAUAAAAUAUAUUUUUCUUUUCAAAAUUUAAGUUGAAACCUCAAUUAUCAAUUGGAACUUCAUUUUUUUUUAACUAAAACCAUAAUUUGUAAGUGAGACCAUUGAGGCUUCAGUUGAAUUUUUUUUUUAAAGUUUAAAAUUUAAUUAAAAUAUUAAACUAUAAAUUAUUGUUGAAAUUAAAAAUAUAUACUUUAAUAAUAAAAAUUAUAUAUUUAAACUUAAAAGAUCUAAUAUAACUUCAAUAAAAAUAAAUUGAUAAAUAUAAUAAUACAUAAAUAUUUUAUUUAUCAAUAAAUUAAUAAACUUAAAAUAAUAAAGUUAUAUGACAUAUAAAUAAGAUAUAAAAUUAUAUAAUUAUUAAUUUAAGAUAUUUAAUUUGUUGUAUUUUUAAGAUAUUAAUUCAUUUGUAUUUUGACAAAUUUAUCUUUAUUAAAAUAAUAGUAUACUAUUAAGUUUUCAUAUAUAGAUUUUUUAUUAUUUUAAAACAUAUGUUUAGACUAUUAUUUGUAGACACACGAUAGAUUUCAAAAUUAGUUAAUGAAAUUAAUUAGAAAAAGUAUACUAGAAAAUGUAAUUUUUAGUAGUUUCAUCAAAGUCACAAAAAAUACCCACUAAAUAUUUAUAUAGUGGGAAAAAAAACCCCAUUCCCUAACUAUAGCAGUUGCUACAUGUGAUAUAACUUAAAUUAAUAAAUUAUAUUUAGCAUUUCUAUAUAUAUAUAUAUUUAGCAUCCAAGUCUCUCGUCCAGAUUACACGGAAGUGAAGUCAGAAAAUGGCACUCAAUUUCACUCCCUUGCUUUCUUUUACUUUCCUGCAAAUGGGUUAUCAUACAUCUCCCAAAUUCUCCAUGGCCUCCAUGCACCGCUCUGUGUCCAGGUGAGUGUGUUCUUCACUUCUUACAAAAGUUUACGGAAUGUUCAUACCAUCUAGUAGAAAAUGGCUAGUGCCUAUGUUCAUAGUUUCAUCCUAACCAGUAGUGUCUAACCCUUGUGAAAAGACGGAUCCGAAUUGUAAGUACCUAAUCCAAAUUUCUUCUGUUUAAUGUAGGGAGAUUAAGAAUACAAAGAAGAUUUCUAGCUCUCCUCGCAAGGUGCAAGUAACCCACUCAAUGCCACCACACAAGAUUGAGAUUUUCAAAUCCAUGGAGAAUUGGGUCGAGGAGAACGUUUUAAUUCACCUGAAGCCAGUUGAGAAAUGUUGGCAACCUCAGGAUUUUCUGCCUGAUCCUGCAUCUGAUGGAUUUCAUGAGCGAGUCAAGGAGCUACAGGACAGAGCUAAGGGGACCCCAGAUGACUACUUUGUGGUUUUGGUUGGACAUAUGAUCACUGAAGAAGCCCUUCCAACUUACCAAACACAAAUCAAUAUCACUGAUGGAAUUCGCGAUGAAACAGGGGCAAGUCCCAGCUCAUGGGCAACUUGGACAAGGGCAUGGACCGCUGAAGAGAACAGGCACGGUGACCUUCUUAAUAAGUAUCUCUAUCUGUCUGGAAGAGUAGACAUGAAACAAAUCGAGAAGACGAUUCAGUAUUUGAUUGGGGCUGGAAUGGUGAGAUUCUUGCUACAUGCUUUUUUUUUUUUUUUUUUUUUCUGUAGUCAAUCACAAUCUUCACUAGUUCUUGAACUCAAGUUCUUCUUCUCCAUCUUUUCAUAGGAUGCUCAGAAUGAUAACAGUCCCUACCUUGGCUGCAUCUAUACUUCAUUUCAAGAAAGGGCAACCUUCAUAUCCCAUGGCAGUACUGCCAGGCUCGCCAAUCAACAUGGGGACAAGAGCUUGGCUCAAAUAUGUGGCAUAAUAGCCUCAGAUGAGAAGCGCCAUGAAACUGCCUACACCAAGAUAGUGGAAAAGCUCUUUGAGAUUGAUCCCAAUGGAACUGUUUUGGCUUUUGCAGACAGGAUGAGGAAGAAAAUCACCAUGCCGGGCUUCUUGAUGUAUGAUGGAUGUGAUGAAAACCUUUUUGAGCACUUCUCCGCAGUUGCUCAGAGGCUUGGUGUGUAUACUGCCAAGGACUAUGUUGAUGUCUUAGAAUUCUUUGUGGAGAGAUGGAACGUGGAAAAGCUAACUGGGCUUUCUAGUGAGGGGCGAAAAGCUCAGGAUUACGUUUGUGGGUUAGCUCAAAGAUUGAGAAAGCUGGAGGAGAGAGCUCAAGAAAAAGCUAAGCAAGCACCCACCAUUCCUUUCAGUUGGAUUUUGGAUAGAGAAGUGAGGCUCUGAGUGCAAAAUGGAAGACAAAGAUUGGUCGUGUCCUCAAAGAUCUAUCCUGUAAUAUACAAGUGUAAGCCAUCUAUGUUUCUCUAUCUCAAUUUUAAUAAUCACGAUCUCAUCUCAUAUCACUUCUUAGAAUCCUACAAACCAGGGUUUUGGUUUAUAUCUCGUCAUUUGGACUGAAGCAGUGCUUUUUUUUUUUUUUAAUUCCUAUAAGAUAUUGGUAAAAACAUCCUUAGCAAAAAGGAAAGGGAAAAUCAUCUAAUCAUACACCAACUACAAAAAAUAUGAAAUUUUGAAACUUUACUUUUUUCUUUUUAAUUUUGGUGUAAAAUGGAAAAAAAUAUUGUGUAUUCAUGCACUCCAAUAGUGCUUUCAAAUUUGUUCCACAAUUACCCUCAAAGGUAAAGGACAAAGUACACACUAAUUUAAUACUAUUUGUUAACAAGUAUAUGAGUCAUUCAAUUUUAUUAUUUUUCUCACAUCAAUAUAUCUCCCUUACCACUUGUCACGUUUUCACUUUUUUCUUUUUUCUUUUUUUUUGUUCCUCUCUUGCCACCAUAAUCCAUUGUCACCUAUUAUAGUUUUUAUUUUUAUUUUUAUUUUUUUUCCUUUAUAUUCUUUUUAAUAUACUCGUGCAUUUUCUCAUAAAACUUUUUUAAUUUUAAUUUAUUUUUACUCUUUAAUUUGUCUAUAUUUAUUGAUUUUAAUUAUUUUUUUUUGACAUAUUAAACUUAAAAUGAUAACAUGUAAUAAAUAAUUAAUAUAAAAAAUUAAAUAAAAAAUAUAUAUAUAAUGGACAAAAAUGAAAUUAUCAUCCCACAAAUAAUAAUGAUUUUAAAUAUUAAUUAUAAUAAUACAUUUUAUAAAUUAAGGUUUAAAUUUAAAAAUUCUAUUUUAUUAUUUAGAAGUUUAUGAUAUAAGAUUUUUUAUAUUAAUAUUAAACAAAAGAUUUAUUUAUUUUGUAAAUUCUAUCACAUGUGAUUUCUUCCGAUUUUCUUCUUUUCCUUAUAUUUUUUCUCAAAAUUCUCACCAGCCAAACAUAGGAAACCUUUUUUUUUUUAAUUAAUAAAUUGUCCAUUUAUUCCAAAAAAUAAAAAUCUCUUUUCAAAGUGAAUUCUCAAAAAACAUUAUUUAACAUUCUAAAUAACAAAAAACUAUUUUUAAAAACAAAAGUUUAAAUCUCUUGACAUGUUUAAUUAUUUUCAUUUUUUUUUAAAAAAACACAAAAUUCUUAGAAAAUAAAUAAUUUAUUUACCAAAUUCCCAACUUCCAUCCUUCUCUUUGAUUCAAAGGAAAAAAAAAAGAAUUUAAUGGUUUUAUCAUAUUUAAUUAACCAUAAAAGGAUACAAAAACUCAAUUAUAAUUAAUAUUAGUGAAGACUUACAUUUUUAAAUUAUUUAAAUUUUAUAAAAAGGUGACAAAAAUCAAUAAAAUGAAUUUGAAAAAGCAUAUAGAAUUAUUUUUAAAUCUACUAUAUAUUUUAUUUCUAAUUUCUUCUUCUUUUUUCCUACAUUUUUCUUCAAAAUUUUCAAUAACCAAUCAUAGGUAAAGGAAAAUUGUUAGUUUUAAUUUAUUAAUAAAUUGUCAAUUUUAUUCGUCCUAAAUUCCUAAUGAGUGUAGAUUCUUUUUUGUAAAAAAUAUUUCCUAAAUUGAUAUAUCAUUGUAAUAUUAGAUUUACUUAUAAAAUAAAGAAGGUUAUUUGAUUAAAAGGGUCAUAUCCAAUUUUGGAAAUUUAACCCUCCACAUUUUUUGUCUUAUUUUGAUAAAAAUGUCUUCACUAUAUAUAUAUUGUAAAAACAAUAAUUUCUUUUAAAACCUACAUGUAAAUAUUUAAAAUGAUAAAGGACAUUUAUGUCAAUAAUGAGUUAUUUUUCAAGUAAAAACAUGAGAAUGAUUAGAUUUACAAAUUUGGGGAUUAUUUUUAUCCCUUUUAACCGAUUAAUUCUUUUAAAAAAAAUCACUUAAAUCUUGUUUAAAUUGAUUUUUGAAAAGCCAAUUCUUUUCUAAUUCAAUAAAAGCUUCUAAAUUUGUUUGGCUAAUUUGGUUUAAAAAUUUUAUGAUUUGAACAAAAAAAAAAUAAAGAAAAAAAAGCUUAAUAUAAAGUGUAGAAAAUAUUGCUUUUUAUAGAAGCUAUGUUUUAUCUAGGGAAAGUUGUGUUUGCAUCGGCCCAUUUGAAGGUAAUAUGGAAAGCAAACCCAAAGAAACUGGAAUAUGGACUUUGAUCGUUAAUGACAAAACUAUUAUUUUUCUUGUGCACUAUAUACUUUCGGUAAGCUAUUCCAAAAUUGCCCUUUAGUUUUCCCUACCAGCAGCCACCGGUCUCCAUUUUAGCAGCCACCGCGCAAUUUAAUAAACACUCAAAUGUGAACCGGAAAGUUAUGAAAUCUGAAACCUGAUCACAAAAAACACCCGAACCCGGCUGACACUAUUAUUGACCUUUCAUUGAUUUUCAGGUGUUGGGCUUUGUGGAGCCUAGUUUUGUUUGAUCCGGUUUGACGACCCGACCCGAAUAAUAUUGCAUGGCUUUUUUAAUGGGAGAUUUAUUGAGGCCUGUUGGGCCCGUUUAGCCCAUUGUGGAACCACCUUUUGUAAUUAGGGUUUUUUAGUAUGGUAGGGUUGCCGUGCUAUAUAUAUAUAUAGAGAAUAUUGUAGCCGCUAAGUUGUACUCUGUCUUCUUCCUUGAUAAUAGUGAUAUCCCUGCAACUCCGUGGACGUAGGCAAAUUGCCGAACCACGUAAAUACUGUCUUGUGCGUGUGAUUGUUUUUCUUUGGCGUGUGUUUUCUCUAAUUUUUUGUUUCUCACGGGUUGGGAAUUCGGUUUAAUUCCCUACAACUGGUAUCAGAGCCUAGGGUUAGGUUUGAGUGGGAGCAAUGGCAGAGGAAGCAGGAAAGGCGUCUGGAAUAGAAAAGUUUGAUGACACAAACUUUGCGUAUUGGAGGAUGCAGAUUGAAGAUUAUCUCUAUGGGAGGAAAUUGCAUCUGCCUCUUUUGGGGACAAAACUUGAGAGUAUGAAGGCUGAGGAAUGGGCGCUUCUUGACAGACAGGUUCUAGGAGUUAUUAGGUUAACUCUGUCUAGGUCUGUUGCACACAAUGUUGUAAAGGAGAAGACCACAGCAGAUCUGAUGAAGGCUUUGUCCGGUAUGUAUGAAAAGCCAUCCGCAAACAAUAAGGUGCAUCUGAUGAAGAAAUUGUUCAAUUUGAAGAUGGCAGAGAAUGCAUCAGUAGCACAACAUCUGAAUGAAUUUAAUACAAUCACAAAUCAAUUGUCGUCUGUAGAAAUUGAUUUUGAUGAUGAGAUUCGUGCUCUGAUCGUCUUGGCUUCUUUGCCAAACAGUUGGGAGGCAAUGAGGAUGGCAGUAAGCAAUUCUACAGGAAAGGAAAAGCUCAAGUACAAUGAUAUACGAGAUUUAAUUCUGGCUGAGGAGAUUCGCCGAAGAGAUGCAGGUGAAACCUCAGGAUCUGGUUCUGCCCUAAACCUUGAGACAAGAGGCAAAGGUAAUAACAAAAAUUCAAAUCAGGGUAGGUCAAAUUCCAGAAAUUCUAAUCGGAACAGAAGCAAAUCUAGAUCAGGCCAACAAGUACAAUGCUGGAAUUGUGGGAAAACAGGUCACUUUAAAAGGCAAUGCAAAAGCCCUAAGAAGAAGAAUGAAGAUGAUUCUGCUAAUGCUGUAACAGAAGAGGUACAGGAUGCAUUACUUCUUGCAGUAGAUAGUCCACUUGAUGAUUGGGUUUUGGAUUCAGGAGCUUCGUUUCAUACCACUCCACACCGAGAAAUCAUACAGAAUUAUGUUGCAGGUGAUUUUGGUAAGGUGUAUUUGGCUGAUGGUUCAGCCUUGGAUGUUGUGGGUCUGGGAGACGUCCGGAUAUCAUUGCCCAAUGGGUCUGUUUGGUUACUGGAGAAGGUUCGACUUAUUCCUGACCUGAAGAGGAAUCUGAUUUCUGUUGGACAACUUGAUGAUGAAGGACAUGCAAUACUAUUUGUUGGUGGUACUUGGAAGGUUACAAAGGGAGCUAGGGUAUUGGCUCGUGGAAAGAAGACUGGCACUCUGUAUAUGACCUCAUGUCCAAGAGACACAAUUGCAGUUGCUGAUGCAAGUACUGAUACAAGCCUAUGGCACCGCAGACUUGGUCACAUGAGUGAGAAAGGGAUGAAGAUGUUGCUGUCAAAAGGAAAACUACCAGAAUUGAAGUCCAUUGAUUUUGACAUGUGUGAAAGUUGCAUCUUAGGAAAGCAAAAAAAGGUGAGCUUCUUGAAAACUGGCAGGACACCGAAGGCUGAAAAAUUGGAACUAGUACACACUGAUUUGUGGGGGCCUUCUCCGGUUGCAUCCCUAGGAGGUUCAAGGUACUACAUCACCUUUAUUGAUGACUCAAGUAGAAAGGUAUGGGUUUAUUUUCUGAAAAAUAAAUCUGAUGUAUUUGUAACUUUUAAGAAGUGGAAGGUCAUGGUUGAGACAGAAACAGGUUUGAAAGUAAAAUGUUUGAGGUCAGAUAAUGGAGGAGAGUACAUAGAUGGAGGAUUCAGUGAGUAUUGUGUUGCACAGGGAAUUAGGAUGGAGAAGACCAUUCCUGGGACACCACAGCAGAAUGGUGUGGCUGAGCGCAUGAAUAGAACUCUCAAUGAGCGUGCUAAAAGUAUGAGGUUGCAUGCUGGACUACCAAAAACUUUUUGGGCUGAUGCUGUUAGCACUGCAGCUUACCUGAUAAAUCGAGGACCAUCAGUUCCCAUGGAGUUCAGACUUCCUGAGGAGGUUUGGAGCGGUAAAGAGGUGAAGUUUUCACAUUUAAAAGUUUUUGGUUGUGUUUCUUAUGUUCAUAUUGAUUCUGAUGCUCGUAGUAAACUUGAUGCAAAGUCAAAAAUAUGUUUUUUCAUUGGUUAUGGUGAUGAGAAAUUUGGCUAUAGGUUUUAGGAUGAACAAAACAGGAAAAUCAUCAGAAGUAGAAAUGUGAUAUUUAAUGAACAGGUUAUGUACAAGGAUAUGUCAACUGUAACGUCAGAUGUUACAGAGAUAGAUCAAAAGAAAUCUGAGUUUGUCAACUUAGAUGAAUUGACUGAAAGUGCUAUCCAAUAAGGGGGUGAAGAAGAUAAGGAGAAUGUGAAUUCACAGGUAGAUCUGAGUACACCUGUAGUUGAAGUUCGCAGAUCUUCUAGGAACACUAGACCUCCGCAGCGUUAUUCACCUGUUUUAAAUUAUCUCCUGUUGACUGAUGGUGGUGAGCCAGAGUGUUAUGAUGAAGCCUUGCAAGAUGAGAAUUCAAGCAAGUGGGAGUUAGCCAUGAAGGAUGAGAUGGAUUCCCUGUUGGGGAAUCAGACAUGGGAACUGACUGAAUUGCCAGUAGGAAAGAAGGCUUUGCACAACAAGUGGGUAUACAGAAUAAAGAAUGAGCAUGAUGGUAGCAAACGUUACAAGGCCAGAUUAGUUGUUAAAGGGUUCCAACAGAAGGAGGGCAUUGACUACACAGAGAUAUUUUCUCCAGUUGUGAAGAUGUCAACAAUUAGACUUGUACUUGGAAUGGUGGCCGCAGAAAACUUACAUCUUGAGCAGUUAGAUGUGAAGACAACAUUCCUUCAUGGUGACUUGGAGGAAGACCUUUACAUGAUUCAGCCAGAAGGGUUCAUUGUUCAAGGACAAGAGAAUCUAGUCUGCAAACUGAGAAAGAGCUUGUAUGGCCUUAAACAAGCUCCUAGACAGUGGUAUAAGAAGUUUGACAAUUUUAUGCAUAGAAUUGGGUUCAAGAGAUGUGAAGCUGAUCAUUGUUGCUAUGUUAAGUCCUUUGACAACUCUUACAUCAUAUUACUAUUGUAUGUGGAUGAUAUGCUUAUUGUNNGGUCUGACAUUGAGAANNNNNNNNNNNNNNNNNNNNNNNNNNNNNNNNNNNNNNNNNNNNNNNNNNNNNNNNNNNNNNNNNNNNNNNNNNNNNNNNNNNNNNNNNNNNNNNNNNNNUUUUCUUGCCAAAAAUUCGGCUUUUCAUUCAAAGUCGAAACAUAUACAAACAAAAUACCACUUUAUCCGUUAUCUUGUUGAGGAUAAACUGGUAAUACUUGAGAAGAUUUGUGGAUCUAAGAACCCUGCAGACAUGUUGACUAAGGGUGUCACUAUUGAGAAGUUGAAGCUAUGCGCAGCUUCAAUUGGUCUUCUAGCUUGAGGACAGGAGGAUGAGUUGUAGGGAUGAGGGAUCGUUUCUUGGAGGAUAACGGUUUGAUGUUGGUGAUUGGACUAGUCUCCAAGUGGGAGAUUUGUUGGGCUUUGUGGAGCCUAGUUUUGUUUGAUCCGGUUUGACGACCCGACCCGAAUAAUAUUGCAUGGCUUUUUUAAUGGGAGAUUUAUUGAGGCCUGUUGGGCCCGUUUAGCCCAUUGUGGAACCACCUUUUGUAAUUAGGGUUUUUUAGUAUGGUAGGGUUGCCGUGCUAUAUAUAUAUAGAGAAUAUUGUAGCCGCUAAGUUGUACUCUGUAUUCUUCCCUGAUAAUAGUGAUAUCCCUGCAACUCCGUGGACGUAGGCAAAUUGCCGAACCACGUAAAUACUGUCUUGUGCGUGUGAUUGUUUUUCUUUGGCGUGUGUUUUCUCUAAUUUUUUGUUUCUCACGGGUUGGGAAUUCGGUUUAAUUCCCUACAUCAGGGGCAUGAGGUAUGUGGGUAUCCGUGAAUCAUGUUUUUCUUCAGUGGGUAUGGAUUAUUUUCGAAGUGUUCUAUGAUCUUCUUGCUCUUAUCAUGGGUUACUUCGGAAACUUGAAUGUUAAUGGUGUUGGUUUACAAUAUUUUCGAAAUUGCCGAAUGAUAGUUUUACUACAUUCUUGUGGGGUUUUUCUAUUUGUUUCUUUUAUCUUUUAUUAAUUGUGUUGCAAUUUGUGGUUUCAUACAGGAGAGUGGCUUUUGCUUUGUGUGAACUGCAAAUUGUACAGGAACAUAUUAAGGAUUUUCUUUCUUUUUUGUUUUUAUUGGGAAUAGUUUUCUAGGAUGGUUAAGUAUGAAUUCUUUGAGAACAUCUGUACCAGAAAUCGUGAAGAAAAUCUUGAGUUGAUCGUAGUGUGUGAAUAAUGAUUAAGCAUGAUGGAUUAAGUGUUUCAAAUGUACCAUAUUGAUGACAGCAUUUUGCGUAGAUGGUGCCUUAAAUUCCUAGGUGUCGGGUAAUGCUAGCUGAUAGGAUUGUUGAAUUCACCUAUUCCUAGUAGCCUGUGUGGCUGGUUUAAAGAAGGAAAUGGAUUAUAUCAAUUUUUUGGUUGCAAAUGACUAUUUAUUUGUCUAUUUAUUUAUUCUUUUCUUAACUUUUUCCCCUUAUAAUCCAUUAUCACAGAAUGUUUUUGGACCUUGUUCAGUUUUUAUUUAACAAAAUUCCAAUUGAUUUCGUGUUGCAAAUGUUUUUAAGAUUAUUUUGUGUCUCUGAGGUUGUCAUUGUUUCUAAUUGUUUGCGAGGGGAGGAGACAUCCUCUUUUUGUCUCUUUUAUUUUAUUUUAUUUUAUUUCAUUUUAUUUUUAUUGUUUUGUAUUUAUAAUUUAAAUCAGAAAUAAAAAAAUUUAUUAUAUGUCUCCCUUUUUGUUGACAUUCAAAUCUUCCUAAGAACAUGGCUAUAGGCAUCAGAAUUACAUAGAAGCAAUUAAGGGUGUACUAGAAAUUACAUUUACUUUUCCUCGGUUUAUGUUUCAAAUUCAAUUCUUGUUUUUCCUAAAAAGUUAAUCCUUCCUCACACCAUAUAUCAAGUUGAGAACAUUUGCCUUUCUUGGUGUCUUUUAUUAGCUGAACAAUAUGAUUAGGUUCAAUACACAUUUAUGUGCAUGUAUUUAUACAUAUGCAUCUAUUUACGAAAUACCUAAGGACAAUGGUUUUGAAUAAAGACUUAUGAGAAGGUAUCACAAUAGAUACAGUGGAAUGGUCAAAAGGUGGAGCAAUAAUAUUGGUAAGCAAUUUAAUAAUGCUAACACAAGCCAUUAUGCUCUUUGUUGACAUUAAUUUAAUUAAAAAAACACUACAAGAAAAAUGGGAAAUAAUGACGCUUAUAAGAAGUGUCAUAAUUGUAUUAUUUACCUUGACACUUAUUAUAAGUGUCAUUAUUUGAUGUGGUAUUUUUCCUUAUAACUGUGUAUAUAAUGACGCUUAUAAGAAGUGUCAUAGUUUUAUUAUUUACCUUGACACUUAUUAUAAGCAUCAUUAUUUGAUGAGUAUGUAAUCACGCUUCUAAGAAGUGUCAUAGUUGUAUUGACUUUUAAAAUUUUUGUUUUUAAGUUAACUUAUACAAAUUUUGAUAUUAGAAUUUUAUUCUAUAAAUUAAUUAUGGUAAAUUGACACUAAUAUUAAUGACAUAAAGUUGCUACAUUAAGGUUUUUUUAAAAAAAAUUGGAUAUAAAUAAAAUAAAUCCUAAUAAUUUUUUUUUUAUUAUUUGAUAUUAAUUUUUUUUAUAGUUUGUAUCAAUACAAUCUAUUUUCAUAAACUAUUUUUCAUUUUUAUUAAAUUAGAAAUUAUCUUAUAUUUCAUUUAAAAAUAAUUUGUUAAUUUAUGUGUGGACCACAAAAAAGUGCCCUAUUUUGAGCACUUGUUCGGGCCUUGGACCACAUUUAUUGGGUUUAACCCAUUAUUUGAGAAGGUUUUAUAGUUAAUGAAUAUAAAUUUGAAAUUAUUUAACUAAAAUGAAAUAAAUUAAUAUUUAAAUUAAUUUAAUGAUGAUUAGACUCACAAUAAAACUAAAUGCAAUAAGAAUAUUUAUAAAAAUUUUCUAAUAUUUAUGGGAAAUAAGCUCAUUCUAUUAAAUUAGUUUUUUUUUUUUAAAAUAUCAAUAUUCAAAUUAAACCAACAUCAACCUAAAAUAUCAAAUAAUUAAACAAUAUAAAUUCAUUAUGAGUUCAAUAUAUAAAAAUUAUUAUUGGAAGAUGAAAUAAAGAAUACUAUUUUUAAUUUAUUGAAAAAGGACAUGCGUGGUAUUUUAGAAUUUGUUAUAAAGUCCAAAGAGAAAAGAAGGGACGAAAAAGACAUAUUUCAUACUUCAAUAAGCCUUUACCAUUUUCUUUACUGAAAACCCUAAAUUUUCACUCUCCAUUGAAAACCCUAACUUUUGGAAGACAAGAAAGAAGGGAGAGAGCCACCGUUUUUAGAGAGAAAGAAGAGAAGAGAGAAAAACACAGGUUUUUCUCAUCAUGCCCAGAUUUCAUCAAAGGUCCGAUCCCACUUCGUCCGUGGUCCGAUCGAGCUAAAAUUUGGAGGAGAGUUUCAUGACUCAUUUAUCUUCAAUAUGAACGGUGAAGAUCGGAUUUGGAGUUUCGGAAAGUCAUUAGAAAGAAAGAGGAGAAGAGAGAAAAACGCAGGUUUUUCUCAUCAUGCUCAGAUUUCAUCAAAUGUCUGAUCCCGCUUCGUCCGUGGUCCAAUCGAGUUGAAAUUUGGAGGAAAGGUUCGUGGCUCAUGUAUCUUCAAUAUGAACGAUGGAGAUCGGAUUUGGAGUUUUGAACAGUCAUUACAGAGAAAGAGGAGAAGAGAGAAAAACGCAAAUUUUUUUCAUCAUGCCCUAAUUUUAUCAAAGGUCUGAUGCAGCUUUGUCCAUGGUCUGAUCGAGCUGAAAUUUGAAGGAGAGGUUCACAGCUCAUUAAUCUUCAAUUUGAACGGUGAAGAUCGGAUUUAGAGUUUUGGAAAGUCAUCUUUCUUGUUUUGGUGGGCUUUUCUCUCCGGACUGUUUUGAUCAUUAGCUUUGAUCGAGGUCAAUUCGUAGUCCGAUUGAGUUGCAAUUUUGGGAGCACAUUCAGGACACAUUGAUCUUCAUUCUAACAGUGGAGAUUGGAUUUGGAGUUUGGAAAAAUGGUAUUUCAGUCCAAGAACAGUGGUUAUGUUUAGUGAGAUCUCUCCAUUAUUCUGGAUUUAAUUUUGGAUUUAUCUAGUGUUUAUCUUAUAGUGAUUUACUAUUUUUGAUAUAAAUCAAAUUUGUUUACUUUUCAUGUCACCUGCUUUGCUAACUAACAAAUUAGAGCAGUUUCUUCUUUUAUUUAAUCAACCAGAUGAAGAUCUUAAUUGGUUCAAAUUAUAGAUAUUCUCAAUCAAUUGAUAAAUUAUAGAUAUAUUGCAUCCACCAAGUGUUCGAUGCUUAGUCCAUGAGAAGCCAAGUGCUUAAAUCAAUUGUUUAGCUUAUUAUUUUUAUUAUUAGUUUUAUUAUUUCUUCCCUUAAAGGCAUUCUUGAAGAGCUUGGGAAGUUCAUGGGAGGUAAUAAAGUCACUGAACUUUUGAGUUAGUUUGAAGUGCUUGAUUCAAAUCCAUCACCAUGAUGACUUAGAUUCUUAUUUUAUUCUUGUAAAAAAAAAAAAAAAAACUUCAUUUUGACACUUUUUUAAUCAUAUAUUCUCAAUUAUAUGAUAAGUAAAAAUAGUAAUUCCAUUAAUAUUUUAUAUUUUAAUAUUUUGCAUAACCUACCAUGCAUGAAUUACCUCAUGUUUUAUUGAUUUCACAAGUUGGUUUGAGUUUUUGUGGUUUGAUUUCAUUUGGUUCAAGUUGUACCUUGUUAUUUUGGAGCUGGUUUUGGGAGUGAAAAAUGGUGAUUCGUUGAAGAGAAGAGAGAUUGGGAUUUUUCUUUUAGGAGAGUAGAAGUGUGAAGAAAGGGUGAGAAUUUUCUAGGUAAGAGGAAACAAGAGAACAAGGGUUGUUCAAUUAAAGAUUUUUGAUAGAGGGAGAGAAGAAAAUUGAGGGAAGAAGCUGUGAGAGAAGGAGAGUUGUUUUGGGUGCUAGGCAAAAGGCAAGAAGUGAGGGUUGUUCGGUUAGAUAUCUUUGAUAAAAAGAGUGAAGAAAAGGAGAGAUGGAGUUGUGAGAGAAAGAAAGAUAGAGAGGAAGACAUAUGAAGACUAUGUUAAUUUGUUAAUGGAAAGAUUGAGGGAAAUGUUGAAAGAGGAAAAAAAGAAGGAAAGAAAAUAUAAGAUUGUUUGGUUGUUCAUGGAAAGCUUGAGGGAAAUGGGAGAAAGAGGAAAAAGAGAAGGAAAAAAAAUGUAAGAUUGCUUGGUUGUCCAUGGGAAAAUUAUUAAAUUUAAGAUGAAUGCAUAUUUCCUACCUCUAUUCAAUGAAAAUUGAGAGGAAAAUCUUUAGACAUCUUUUCUACUUUUUUCCUUAAUAUUUUUUUCUUACAUUUUCCCAUAAUAUAUAAAAUUUCCCUUUGAAACUUUAUUUACGUUUUGUUCUUUGGAUUAUAUAUUUGAUUUUUUGUUUUUUAGGUAGAAGAAUGAUGAAUAAAAUAUAUUUUAUUGGAGAAAAUCAACUAAUAAUGCUCUUUACAGUUUAGUUCGUGGUAAAUAACUCAAAACCCCAUUUAGAAAUUUAUUUUUCUAUUGCUCUUGAAUCACCUAAACUAAAAUAAAAAAAGAAAAGAAAAGAAAGAACUAGUGUUUUUUCUAUUGUUUAAUUUUCUCAAAAUUUUCUACUUUUCAUUUUAUAUUGGUUCUUGUGUUUUUUUUUCCUUUAAGAUUUUUGUGAGAGUUUUAGUUUGAAUUGCACUUUUUGGUUUUUGCAUUUAUAAUUGAGAGAUUUUUUAUUCUCCUUGUAUUUGUUUAUAGGUUUCAAAGGAAAUUGGUUGGCCAAAAGACAAGAAAUCAUAAUGUUGAAGGAGGUAGUGAUGCCGAAAACCAUGAAGAUUACAUCAAAGUCAUUUGGAGGAUGAUCUUAUUUUUUUUAUAGAAUAUAGUUCUUAAUAGUUGUUGCACUAAUAUUUGUUCUUUUGUAGAAUUAGAAAUUGUUAUUGAAAUAUUUUGAUAUAAUUAACAAAUUUGUAUGUAAUUAUUGUAUGUAAGUAUGAAGUUACAUUAAUGGUUUGAAUUGUAUAUCAAUAUUUGAAACUAUUUUUAUUAGUAAAAUUUAGUUUAAUUUUGGGGCUUUUUUAAUUUUUAUUUAAUUGUAUAGGAAAUCAUUAUUUUAAUAAUAGGAUAUAAAAUAAUGUGUCAUGGAUAAAAUCUAUUAAAUAUGACACUUCUAUAAAUGUCAAGAUUGCUUAUUUCAUAAAAAUGAUAUCACUAGAAAAUGUUUAAAGUUGACGCUUCUUACGAGUGUCGUUGUUAACAUUAUCCAAAGAUGAUGCUUCUUUAAACGUCAUUGAAAGUAUUUAUCAAAGAUGGCGAUUCCUAAAAGCGUCAUUGUUGCCUAAGACAUACAAUGACAGGGCCGAAAAGGACGCUUUAGAGAAGCGUCAUCUUUUUCCUUUCUUGACGCUUAAAAAACGUCAUUAUUUCCCAUUUUUCUUGUAGUGAAAAAUGGGAAAGUUGUGUUUGGAGCCGCCCAUUUGAAGGUAAUAUGGAAAUCAAAGCCAAAGAUUGUGCAAUAUGGGAUUUGACCGUGAGCGGGAAAACUAUUAUUAUUCUUGUGCACUCUGUGCGUAGUUCCUUUUAUCUCCCUAGAGUACCCUUUUACAGACUCCAUGUCAGCAACAUUUAAUGUCUCAAAGUCAGCAGGAUAUAUCUAAAAUUGAAUAAAACACAAAAAUGUAAAAGUUAAUGAUGUUGGGUUACAUCUCCUCAUGCCUGGCCUGAGAACAUAAAAUUUUCCAAACACCCAAUCUUGUUUAUCUCAUUUUAGCAAAAGAAACCCUAAAAUGUCCAAUCUAUCUCCACUAUCUUAGCAACCAAACGGAGCACUUCAUGGUAAGAACACUAGUAACUAGCCCUACUAAAGGCAAUGGCAAUGCACUUGUAAAGAAUUGUUGUCUUCUUACUUUCUUGUAUCACCAUCAUUGUCAUCAUUAACAAAGCCUUAUCCAAAGACAAAUCAUGUGUUGUUUCCAUCCUAAGAACCCAUGUCGUCACUCUUUACUCUACAGUUAAAAAUAUAGAACUAUGAAUAAUCUCAUAGUGAAUUGAAAUCCCCAGAGAAUUGAACCAAUCCAUUGUAUUAGACAUAGGGUACAAAAUGAAUCCAUGGUGUCUUUGGGAGUGCUCUGAUGCGCAUACUUAUUUUUCUUGUACACUUAGGACUACAGUAAAUGAUCUAUUUUCUAUUGAUCAUGGUGAUGGUAGUGAUUCCUCUAUAUGCAGUAUUUGCUUGAGCACACAAAUGGUCAUGUUCAAUUUAUGUUUGACAUCCAAAACUAGCCCUUGUUAAUUCAAGUCCAUUCAGCAUUCUGCCCCACCUUCUAACUUACAACUCCUAAUUCUCUCUUCUCAUGGGCAGAUGUAAAAAUAAGAUCUAAAAUCAGUUUGUAAUAUGUUGAAUGCAUGAAAAGGCAUUAAAAAAUUCAUGCCAUUUCUCAAGGACUUUUCUCAUGUUUCAUCGUUAUGCAAUUUCACCAAUUGGCUACUAUAUAUUAGGACGUUUAACUAUGGCAAGGAACUUGUCUGAAUGAAUACUAUUUCAUCUCAGUAACAUUCCUUUAUAUUGGACUCACCCCUAGAUAGACAUGCAAUAUAUACUAUAAUUUCUCAACGUUUUCAAUCUCUGGAUUCACUGGUUUUGGUUGCUAACCAUCUGCUCAGAAUUUUGGCCCUGGAACCAAAUACAAGAAUGACAUAAUCAACCUAUUUUUUUUCACAACUGGCCCAUGUCCAGUGAACUAUAAGUCUGUGUGUCAACCCUUAAGGUUGUCCAUUAUAUUUUGCUAUCAAUUUAUAUAUAUUACUAUUCUUUUUCUACCUAAAGAUUUUACAAGAUACUGGGGAAAAACCUUGACUUCUUCAGGGGCUUUGCUCUUUUGAUUAUAUUGGGUGGAAUGCAUUCCUGAUCUUCAACCACCUUUUAUUUAUUUUAUUUUUUUUUAUUUUUUUUUAUGGAUGAAGUAACUUUGUGACAAAGAGUUACGGUUGCGGAAACCAAAGAAAGAUGGGAACCGCCACAACGGAAGCACCUAAUGGAGAAUUUGGUGACUUUCAGGCCAGUAAUGCAAGCAAUUGUCCUACCACCAUAAAACAAUAGCACCUGGGUCGUCUGCCCAAUCACAAUGACUUGGUUCUAUGUCUAAAUAUCACAUGACAAAAGAUGAGGUUACCAUCAUAGCAUUUGAAGUGAUUUGUGUAUAUACUCCAAUGAUUCAAUUGUUCCGUACCAUUAUGGAAGGAGAUUUGGGAAUGAAAAAAAUCAAUCUACUUUCAUUCGGUAUUAUGGCUUAAAUUCUUUGACUCUUUAAUAUUCAGUCAAAUUCUCAUUUUUGAUAAUUGAAUGCACCUUUAUAGUCCCAUAUUCACUAACUCCAAACAGGAACUUGGUACAGGUUUUGCAGUAUACAAAUCGCUUUCCUCCAUGAACAUCUCUCAUGGAAUUGCAUUCAACAUUCUCACUUUCAUGAUUAAGUGCCUCAUCAUAAAGAGAUGUUCCUGCAUUUAAGCUAACUAGCUAAUAAAUUAAUAAAGUCCUAAAUGGAUAAGAACAUGGGUCUAAAAACCCCAAUCUUAUAAAUCUAGGAAUACAAGAAUAUUUUUACUGUGAGAAACUUCUUUGUUCUUGAAAACUCUUUCUUAUUUGCUGUAAUCAAGUAGCAGUCUCACUGAAAACAUAUUGGAUGGGUACACAAAGAUGGUUCUCAAAGGACAGUCUGAUAAACAUUGUAGUAAGUAGUAAGCUAAUAUUUGAGUUCUAAGGCUUCAGCAAUGAUGAUUUUGUUGAGAAAAUUUUCAACCUUACUCACCUUACUCCUAUAGUCCUGAUUCUAAAGCCUUAAACUUUUAAAUUUUUGUCCAUACUUUUGGUGGAAUUAUUAAUGACUUCUCUAGUCUCAGAAAUUAAAAUAAUAUCAAUAGCAAACAAAAUACACCAUGACACUUCAUCCAAGAUAUGCCUAAUAAGUUCAUCCAAACUAAUGCAAAAAAUAAAGGCUUAAUAUCAACCCAUUUUUUUCUUUGAUAGGCAAAUAAUCAUUUUUUUUCAUUAUAAAAACAACAUCUAAACAGAAGGGUGUACUAGGGCAUACAUGGUAUACACAAAGGUGUCAGCGAGUGGCCUACUCUGCAUUCCUUAUGGCAACUCUACGACUCAUGCAACCUAUAAACUAUGUAGAGGUAAAUACUUUGCUAUAUUAAGCUAUUGAAGGAACAAUGCAGGCUAAUGACCCUUUUUUCCAGUCAUCAUUCAAGGAAAAAAAAAAAAAAGACUGCAAAUGGACUAUGCCUGGCCAUGGGAACUGAACAGAUUACCUAUCUUUUGAGCAACCCCAACCCUAAGACCAUUCAUAGUUGCCUCAAAAAAUUUAUAAAAUUUGUUAAUUAGGCUUCAUUUUAUAAGUGAAAUUUCUGGAUAUUGCUAAACUAGAAUGUGCAAUUAUCAAGUUCAUGGAAAUUUAUCAUAUAAGUUAAAAAGGAAGUCUUUCUUCCUAGAAGGUGUAUAUGAAUAUAGAAUCAUAGGAAUCAUAGAUGCAAACAGUAAAAUAGUUGAGAUUUAAUCAUCCUAAAAAAUAAUAUUUAGUUUCAAUAUGUUCUUAGACUAGUUUCUCUUCUGAUGUUCAUUAUAACACCUUUGGCCCUAAUAUGUUCUCAACACCCAAACGAAUGCUUAAAUAAAAAACUCACCUGUGAUUGAUUGAGGAAGCUCCACUUCGGUUUCUAGAAACCUUUAAAAAAUCAACCUUUGAUGAAGAAAUAUGAAGAUUUGCCUCGACUUUGGCUUCCUUGAAGGUUUUCGGAAGAAACCUAUCGGGUUUGGGUUGUCACCUCGUGAAGAGACACGCUAGGGUUAAGGUAGAAUCAGACGAAGUCGGCUUUCGGAAGAUAGGUAUCCAUCGCUUGCUCAAGACCUUAAUAAACAGAUCAGUUGUAUCAAAUGAGCUAUGAAAAUGGAAUUUUUUUUAGAUCUAGUUAGGGAAAAACGAGAGAAAGUGACUGAGAUAACUUUAAGUUUCAAAUGUUUCUUGGGUCGAGUGCUUUGUGGGUUUCAAACUUUAUAUAACUUCAAGUUUCACAUUUUAGUGUUUCUAAAAUUGCACACCGGCCUGCUGACAUGGAGACCGGUGGCUGCUGAUAGGGAAAACUAAAGGGCAAUUUUGGAAUAGCUUACCGAAACAGUAUAUAGUGCACAAAAUAUCUCUUAUUCUCUUUUAUUUCCUUUCAUUUUCUUUAUUCUUCAUCUCAUUUUUUUUCUUUCUUUCUCUCUAACCCGUGGCCACCUCUCACCGUUGCUCGUGGCUCCAUUGUUGGAGGUGCCAUUGCCGGCGAUAGUCCUCUUCGAUGCCGACGAUCAUUCCUCCCUCCUACCAUAUUCUUUAUUUUUUUUUUCUCUCUCUCCCUCUCUCUUCUUUCUUACCCAUCAUCAUCUACCACAAUCUCUCACCAUGGCCAUUAUCCUUCCAUCUUUAUCCGGUGACGGUUGUUAUUAUUGUGGUUACCCUCUCAUUGCAGCUUUAUACUCCACGUGACUUCAAGACCAUGGGUAAACCCUACCUUUUGAUUUUUAUGUCUUAUAUUUGGGUUAUUGGAUUUUGUUUGUGGGCUUGAAUUCGGGUUGAACUUAGUUUCAAUAUUAUUUGGGCCUUGGGCUUAUUGGUAUUUGGAUUGUAUUUUGGGUUGGGCCUACUUUGUUAAUUGGAUUUGAUUUAUGAUUUGAGAUUUGGGCUUAGUAUGUUGUUUCAGAAUUACCAUUUCAAUUGAAUUACAUUAGGGUUUUUCUUUUAUUUUUAUGGGGCUUGUAUAUUAUCUAGGCUCUGCUUAUUUCUUUUGCUUUUUCAUUUGGGUUAUUUUUGUUUUUGCAUUGAUCCAUUUUGUAAUUCCGUUGGUUGAGUACGAAUUUAUGACACGUGGUGCAUGGAAUUUCAUAGAAGAAAAUGAGAAUCGAAAAACUGUAAGAAGACAUUGAACUUAUUGUAAGCUUAUUGAGGUACACGUUUCAUUUCCUACUACUAUUUAAUUUUAAUUUUAUUGGUUUCUGUAAAUAUUUGUUUGUAUAUGUUUAUUUGUUGUAUACAAAAUUGGAUAUUUAACAAAUCAGAAAUUUUGUUUAAAUAAGAUGAAUAAUUUAAUAAAUAUGUUUUAAUAAAAUAAUAAUUUUAAAAUAUUAUUCUUAAUAAAAAUUCAGAAAAAUGCUUUUAGAAAAUCCAAAAAAAUUUGUUUUUAAUAGAAUUUGAAAAAUUGUUUUUAAUAAUAAUUGUCUAAAAAUUGCUUUUAAUAAAAUUGUCCAAAAAUUAUUUUCUAAAUAAAGUUGUCCCAAAAAUUAUUUUUUAAUAAAAUUGUCCAAAAAAUAUUUUUUUAAAAAUAAAUUCUUUUUCCUUAAUUAAAAUGGGAUUUAAAGUAAUUUUUAGAAAUAGAGGAUUUAAUUUUUUUUCUUUUUAAUUAAAAAUUCUUUUGCAAAUAAAUUAAUAUUUUUUUAAUAAUUUGUAUAAGUCAAUUUUCUUAAAUGAAAAUAAAUUGAAAUAUUUUUUUUAAAAAAAAAAUCUAAAAAUUCAUUCUUUUAUAGUAAAAACAAGUAAAAAUAAUUUUUGUGCCCAAAUUGAAAUUUUGUAAUAAAUUCUUUUAAUACAAUAAGUGUAAAUAAAUUUUUUUGAAAAUUGAAUACAAAUGAAAUUGAGAAAAUAAAUUGACUAUGUUUUGUAAAUAAAUAAAUUGAAAUCAUUAAUUCAAAAUUGUUUUUAAUAAAAUCCUUUGAAAUUUAUUGAAAACUAUUUUUUUAAAUAUUUUUUUAUUUAGUUCAAUAAAUUAUUUUGCAUAAUUCUCUUGUUAUUUAUUUUGUGUAUUCUUGUAAUUAGAUUUCAUCAUUAUUUUUUGUAUAUAUUGAUUUUCACCAUGACUUGUACAUUGAUUAUUUUGCUUGGUAUCCAUAAUUAAUUAAUUGUCAUAAUUCCCUUAAUUCGUUUAGUAGAGGCCGUAUGUAUACGAACUUAGAGGGGUGCUACGACUCACCACCGUACAUUCCCAAUAGCUAACCUGACUCCCGAACCCGACUUUGGUUUUUCAUAGACUGUUUUUUCCAAAUAAAGAGUCACACUUAGGGUUUUCUUUCUUAUUUUGUUUUUCCUUAAAAAAAUAAAACAAAAAUAAGUGGCGACUCCAAGUCUUUUUUAAAAAAAUCAAAAUUUCACCAAAUAAAUGAAAAACGAGUCUCACCAUUCGAGUGAGAACGCAUGUGAAAAACGCGGGUCCACAAAAUGACGACUCCAUUGGGGAUGUUUAGAGGGUCAAACUUGAACUCGAGUUGAGGGAAAUGUGGCAUUUGAUUGGUCGAUUAGUGGAUACCCAUCUCUAUGUGCUUUUAUAUGAUUGGAUGUUGAUUACAUGUUGAAAGCUUUGAUAUGUUUAUCGAUCCGUGAUGCAUGUUUAGUUAUUAUUGUUCAUUGGAUAUGUUCACAUGUUGAUUAUAUCGAUUGAUUAUCUUGCUUACUUUAGCAUAUGACUCUUCUUGUUGCAUGAUUAUCUUGCUUUCCUUGACAUGUAUAUUCUCAUUUUUGUAUAUCUAAUUCAUCUUGGCAAGAUUGAUUUUCUUUGUUGUAUAAUAUCUUGUUUGUCUCAACAUAUUGUCUAUUAUGCUAUAUACCUAUCUUGUUUAUCCUAUUUCUGCCUAGCUUGGGUGUAGAUAUGAGUGAUAUACCUAUUAUUUGCAUGACUGUUUGGUGCAAUGACUACUCUUCUUCUGUGUGAUGCAUGUGUUGCUUGUCUAUGCGGGACACACAUCUAUCCCCUUACCUCCAAUUCCCUAGUCUUGGUCGACCUUGUUUUCCUUGAUCUCAUAUUUGAUACGAGACUUGUUACUUUGUUUGCUCUUCGACCGAGUUAGUGAUUCAUAGUAGGGUUUAGUGUUGGACUAUAUUUAUGUUUGGGAGCAUUCUGGAGAAGACCAACACAUUGAUGCUGAUUGGAGUCCGAUCUUUGAAGACCUAUAUAGCCCAAAGCUAGGUUUCAUGGAUAUUUAUGUGACCAGUGUGUUUUUUUUUUCCACUUAGUUUGAUAUGAUUUUCGAAUGCAUCCACACCACUCACUGUGCACUUUAGUUGACUACUGAGUGCUAAGAGUUGUAAGAGUUUUCACCAUAGGAAACCUCCUGGGAUGUCGAAGUAGUGCAUGUGUGGAGGUGAUGACUACCUUGCAUGUAAAUGCUCCCAUCUCUUCUGAGGUGUGUAGGAGGUUGCGUAUCGCCAAAUGGUACAAUAGCUUCUGCUAGAGAUCCUUUAAAGUCCACUCAUUUUUCUUUUUAGAGCCGCUUUGACCUUGUAGGUUGAGCCUUAGAUCUUUUGAUUAGGAUUUCAUUUCCUACACAUGGGUGCAUCUGAGAGGCUUCGGGGCCACUUUAGUCACAGUUUGGAUCCAAUACUCCAUUUUUUUGGUCUCCAAUUAAGAGUGCUCAGAGAUUAGUGUGAGUUUGAGUAUCAGUUGGACCAUCCCUUGUUGUGUAGUGUUGACUCAUUCUAGUCUUUUGUUGUGUCUAGCAUGCUUCUUUCCUAGGGUUUUAGAUAGAUUUCAUCUCUCGAGUUAUCAUUUUUUCGAUUGAUUGUCACUAUGCUUGACAUUUUAGGAUAUGUUCAUUGAUUAUACCCACCCUUUUACAUUCUUCAUGUGUCAUGGGCUUAGUAUUUCAUUCUUUGGUUGAUUUGCCUAUUUAUAUUUUCAACCCGAUAUUUUCAUUACAGAAAGGUGAAAGGCAUGUUUUCACAUUCACACCAUUUUUUAGAGGUUCACCUUUAUCACCUUAUCAUUUUUCUUUAUGGAGCUUGGAUUGAAAGUGAAUGAAAUAAUAUUUUGUUAUAAAUGGAGUAUCGAUCUCAUGACAGUGUUGUUUUUCACACCUCAUUCAUUUUAUGGAUUAUUGAUAAAGAUUCUUUAGUCACAUUUGUAGCCAUCUCAUAGUGGACAUUUUUAGGACCUUAGAGUUUUUGUCAUAUUUCCAAUUUUAGAUUGCCAUCGCAGGACCAUAUAUCUCAUGAUGUGUUAUACUUUUGACUUGAGACAUCUAUUCACUUGCAUAUUGUGGUCUUGAGGCUUGACCUAUCAUGGAGGAUAUUGAGCUUAUUAGAUAGGAUAAGAGAUUUGACCUAGGGAGUUUGAGACUAUGACUUAUCUUUUUAUGAUCAGAGUAGUGUCUUACUCACUCUCGCACAUUGACUUUGCUUUGACUUGUAUCCAUCCAUUGUGAGCUUUACACAACAUUACCCUUGACACCAUUAUAUGACUUUUCUAUCCCUAAUUGUUCGAGCUUUGCAUAUUCCCUCUUUGAUCCGACCAGGUAGAGUGUGAAAAGUUUGAGUCUAGGGUUGAUCUUGCAUGGCGAAUGAUGACAUAUGAUCUUUAGGUGGCUUACGACGUGAGGAUUGGUCAAUUACCUGAUGGGAUUGACACUUAUUCUGCCAUGAAUAUAGAGAUUGAUCUUGUAUGAUGAGAAUUAGCUUGUGAUGAGCAGUUGUACCUGAUGAGAUCGUCAUUUACUUUUCUUUGAGAUGAUUACCUUUGAGAUUAUUAUGGAGCAUUUGGAGUAUGGUUUGGCGCAUGAUUCCAGAAGGUUGACAUGGUUAUAUCAAAUGGACAUCGAUUUUUAGGAUCAAUCAUUUGACGGUUUGAGGGCACAAUGUUUGAGACAGUGGUCGCAUGAUGAGUGACCUUCAUUUUGGUUAGCUCACAUCUUAUUACGUUUAUUAACAUUCUAACCAUUGCUAGCCCUUUGAGCCUCACAUGAGUAUUAUAGCAUUUUCUUUCUUAUAGCCUUGCUCACAUUUUACACUGGGAUAGGGGCCCUCUGAUGUAUAUAUGCUUUAUUCGGGAGUCUCAUGAGCCAUGGACUUAUUGACUCAUCUUCUUCAUUAUUUUUUUGUUGUCCUAACAUCAUUUUUCAUCAUACCUCUUUGUUUAUAUCCUUUGUUCUAUCAUUUGUUUUUUUCAUCACGUUUCUUUCUAUGCCAUUAGUGAUGAUCUUUCACAUUUCAAUGCAUGGAGGACAGUCAUAUCCCUCUCCACUCCUAUCUCAUGGACAUUGGUUCAGAGAUCCUUAGUUGAGAAGGUCAUCUUGUUAGAAAGAGUUCUCCUACAUCAUUAUUUGAGAGUAUAUCCAUUUCAUUAUGUAUUCUCAGUGGUGCUCGUUUGUUGAUAUUUAGAGUAUGUGUAAGUAAAAAAUAAAAAAUAAGUGCAUAUAUGUAUGUAUACAGUGUCAUCCUUCAUUGAGGUUGCUUUAUUGAUUUAGUUGCUUAUGAAAGUUCAUAUGUGAACUUUCAAGAGACUUUCAUCUUCUUGUGUCUAUCUCGUUAUGUAUCUUAUGUGUGAGAGACAAAUGACAUUUUCCUAGGGACUUUGAAUUAUUGUCUUCUUCAUUAGUCCAUACGUUGAUGAUUUGACUGUUUUUCAUGACUUGAUUUGAGUAUAUCAGUGCUCACUCAUUUUCGUUCGAUCUAUUUGUUCUUCUCGUGGUAUUUGAUUCAUCUUGCCUACAUUGAUCUUCAUUCAUAUCGAUUUACAUUCUAUGUUUGAUAUUUUCGACACAUCAUUCUUGUACAUCCCAUCAGCAGUUCGAUAUUAUUCAUUUCCUUUCUUUCAUUAGUGAUAUAUUCAUCUGAGAUUCUUUCUUCAUCACCGAUAUAUUCAUAUUGGACGUCUUUAGGUCCAUGAUUUAUGAGACUCUCUGUACAUAUUGCAUUCUACACACGAGGGUAUGGAUUUUGAUUAUUGGGUAUUUGAGCUUUGUUUCCUUUCCUUUUUUUACUCUAUUACCUUAGCCUAUGUUAUGUCUUGGGUCUUAAGACCACCUUGAGGCCAUGAUAUCAUGCAUUGUGUUUUAAUAGCUCUCACAUGGGUGAUAUCUAAGAUUAGUUAGAAAGCAUUUUGAUUGUGAUGGACUAGGAGUUAUGGUAUGACCCUACACUUGGGGCAUAGUCACUUCAGAGAGUUUUUAUCGGGUAUGCAAUCAUUCUGCUUGAUACAUUGCAUUAUGGUGCACACCUUUCUUAGUUAAGGGUUUUUUUUUUCAGAUGACUAUUACACAAGGGCGUACCCCUCUCAGUUGAUGAUGGUUUUUGCUACAUAGCCGUUCCUAGGAGGUGAUCAUUUUCUUCUUUACAUUGGAGUAUGAGAUAUGACUGGGUGAUUUGAUUGGGUUUGUUUAUACGAGAGCAUAACCCUCUCAUUGGUAUUGAUGGAUUUUUGAGUGAUUGGAUCAUGGUGCACACUUGUGAGAGUUAUAUUGGUUCUUAAGCAUUUCGGAGAUCGCCUUACACUAGGACAUAACCCUCUUAUUAGCGAUUGAUCUUAGAAAUACCAGUUCACAUCGGGUCAUGAACAUACUAAAGUGCAUUUUUGUUAAGGCAUACCACUUUGUUUGAUCUUUUUCACAUUGGGACAUGAUCUUUCUUUAGAUGAGGUUAGAUAUUUUCUUCACGUUACCACGAUGACUUUGAGAAGUGGAGAUUCAUUUUGAUUAGAUGAUGUAUGAUUGGUUGUACUUCUUUCAUUGAUGUUUUCUUUAGAGAUGCUUACACUAGGGCAUAACCCACUCAUCGGUGAUGGAUUUUGUGAGAUGAUAGUUUAUGCCAGACACAUACUUCCUAAAGAUUAUCUUGCACUUAGGGCUUACUCAUUUUGAGAGGAUGUAUUCAAACUAGGGUGUAGCUACCUUGCUGAUUUUGAGAUUGAGACUCGACCUUCUAUUUAUAAUUGCUAUUUUUCAUGGAUUAUAGAGUUGUUGACACCCUGGGUUCAGUCUUCUCAGCGUACCUAGUUUGAUUUGGAUAUCCACUUACCUUUGUUACACAUUCAACAUUUCGCAUUUGACGUUGUUACACCCACAUCCAUCAUUUCAAAGCCUAAUAGUUAUGGAGACUACUUAUCUCAUUAUUGAGCAUAACCUUAUCCCAUUCUCUUGAUUAGGUGAGAAUGCAAACCAAUCUUGAAUUUUCUGGUCGAGUUUUCACACGCCUUUGGACAUUAAGUUCAACAUCUUCCAUGAUGGCAUGACCUAUUAGAUUGUUGAUGUAUUUGUGAUUAUGUUUUCAUAUCGACAAUUGAUAUGUUGUGUCUUACUUUAUUUAUUGUAAACCCUCCAUUUUGUCUUCCUAGCACAUGUCCUAUUAGGUAUUUGUUAAUACUUUACAGCAAUUCCCUAGUGACCCAUUACUACUCGUAUAGCCUAUAUUUUCUAAGCCACCUUGGGGACUUUGGUUGAGGGAUUUGCCUAACCCUAUUAUGACUCUUGGCAACCCUAUUUAGACUUAGGAUCACUUAGGCACCUUAGACCCACUUAUGCACCUUAGGCCCACUCAGGCACCAUAGGCCCAUUUAGGCACCUUAGGCUCACUCAGGCACCUUAGGCCCACUUAUGCACUAUAGGCCCACUUAUGCACCAUAGGCCUACUUAUGCACCAUAGACCCACUGAGGCACCAUAGGCCCACUUAGGCACCUUAGGCCCACUUAGGCACCCUAGUGUCACGGACUUAGUCGUUUACUAAGCUCGUACGACACUUAGACUAGUCAAGACGCUUGAUCUUGCUAAGUCAGCCUUACUCAUAAUGUUUAGCUUGCUAGGCUAAGAUGCUCACGACUCGUAAGUUGUAGAAGGCGUAGUAGGCAAUUCUUAAAGAAUAGAAGCUCUUAUUACUCAAGGAAGCCUUUACAAGUGCUUUAAGGACUCACUUGCUUGGUUAGGAAGUGAUUUUGGGUGGUGCCUUGGCCAAAUGAGGCCCUCACCUAUUUAUAGGCACCAAUGGAACUCUCUGGAACCUUAAAGGGUUCCUUACAAAUCAAGACGAUUCUAGAAUACCCUACACAAUUCUAUAUACAACCCUAUGUACAAGAGAUCUCUAGAAAGCCUUGGACUGCUCUCAUGCCUUCCACCAUAGUGUAGAGAUGUGUCGACAUCUCUAGGCAUCUCUAGAACCUUCCACACUCUUCCCACCAAUGGCUUAGUGUAGAUGGUUUCAGGAGUCUCCAGAAGCUUCCCUCCUCCUAUAUAAGCCCAUGGGGAGGGUCAUUUGAAGCAUCUUGUGACACUUUCCCCAACCUAUGUCGUCGAUGUCCUCGUCGUUGCCUCUUCUUGAAACCUCUUGAUGUGUUUCCAGAACCUUCUCAAGGAAUCCGUGUGUUCCCAGCUUGUCUGCCUCUUAGGUAGUCCUUUCCAUUGGACUAGAUACUCUAUCACAGGAGGGACUCCUUGUCUCCUAGUGACCCGUUCAGCCAGGAUAUUCUUCACCUCCUUCUCUCGUGAGGCUAUAGAUGGAUGCAAACCCAUGCACUUUCGAUGCUUAGAGUGUUGCUUCCUCUUACCCAUUGAGUUCACCUUUCCCUUAGUGACCUCGUCCAUGUGUGUACGGGUUACCCCAACUCGCUCCCAUUUUGCCUCAUUUACUUGCACCCUUGAUAGUAAGGAGGUCUUAGGCGUACUAGGCUUUGGGUUGAAUUGGAGGGCACCUAGUAGCUGCAUCAAGCCCAUAUGUGCUUUGUCCUCUUGUUCCCUCUCCUCGAUCAUGGCACUAAACGCCUUCCUCUUUGGACAAUCAUGUUCCCAAUAUGGACCAUCAUAUAGGAAGCAUUUGAUUUUAGGCGUAAACUCCUUCCUUUCCACAUUACCCCUUCCUUCUCGGAUGUUAGGCAUCUUGCCCGAUCCCAUUCUAGGAGCAUUGUGGUCCCUUGAGACCUCGUCUCCCCCACCUGUGGCAUGGCUAUCCUCCAAAGACUCAACCUUGGAGGAGUAUCCCCUUUUGUAAUCAGUUAAAGACUCUACUAUUUCCAUAGCAGUGGCUAAGUCUUGAAUGCCUCGGCGCCUUAAUUCAUGCUCGGCCUACCCUUGCAGGUUAUCCAUGAAGUUGAAUAGCAACUCCUCCUCAGUCAUGUUAGGAAUCUCAAGCAUGAGUGAAGAGAAUUCCUUGACAUACUCACGUAUCGAGCCUGUGUGCUUGAGAUGCCUCAUGUUUUUCCUAGCCAGGUAAGCCACGUCUUCGAGGUAGAACUGCCUCUUAAUCUCCCUCUUAAAGUCUUUCCACGUCUCUAUGGUGCAAAUGUCUUUCUCCAUAUCGACAAACCUCCGAUGCCACCAUAGAGUAGCUGUGUCAGUAAGGUAGAGGGUUGCAGUUCUUACCUUAGUCGCCUCAUCAGUCAAUGCGAUAGCCUCGAAGUAUCGCUCCAUAUGCCAUAAGAAGCUAUCCAACUCCUUGGAAUCCCGUUUGCCAUCAAACCCUUGUGGCUUCGGCACCUCCAUCCUAGAUGCCUUUUAUGUGGCCAUGACCCAUGUCGACACAGUAGCCUUGUAGAUAGCCAACUCUUGCCUAACCUCCUAGUCUUGGGACUCUAUUCGAGUGGCCGAGGCCUCUAUCCUUGACUCCAUGCUAGCAAGCAUGCUCAAAACCUUUCCUUGGAAGGACACAAACUCCUCAUGCGACACUGGUUAAACCUGUGAGACUAGCACUCUCUCACGAAGGUCUUGGAUCUGCUCCCUUAGAUCCUCUAAGCCCUUCUCCAUGCUUUGCUCGAUCAAGUCUAACUCCUCCCGAGUGUCCGCCAUGGCUAGCUCCACCUUGACUAACCUUGCCUCUAUGUUGGCAACUACAUCACGAGAUUUAUCCUUCUUGCCCCUGCCCUGUGCAGUAGGCUCGGUUUCCUUUCCACGGGUUUGUUCACUAGUCUUAUCCACAUUGGAGCCCAACAUGCUUCCUUUACUAUGCCCACUUCGUAACCACUUGUCACGGACUUAGUCGUUUACUAAGCUCGUGCGACACUUAGACAAGUUAAGACGCUUGAUCUUGCUAAGUCAACCUUACUCCCAAUGUUUAGCUUGCUAGGCUAAGAUGCUUACGAUUCGGAAGUUAUAGAAGGCGUAGUAGGCAAUUCUUAAAUAAUAGAAGCUCUUAUUACUCAAGGAAGCCUUUACAAGUGCUUUGAGGACUCACUUGUUUGGUUAGGAAGUGAUUUUGGUGGUGCUUUGGCCAAAUGAGGCAUUCGCCUAUUUAUAGGCACCAAUGGAACUCUCUCGAACCUUAGAGGGUUCCUUACAAAUCAAGAAGAUUCUAGAAUACCCUACACAAUUCUAUGUACAACCCUAUGUACAAGAGAUCUCUAGAAUUCUUUAGAAAGCCUUGGACUCCUCUCAUGCCUUCCACCAUAGUGUAGAGAUGUGUGGACAUCUCUAGGCAUCUCUAGAACCUUCCACACUUUUCCCACCAAUGGCUUAGUGUAGAUGGUUUCAAGAGUCUCCAGAAGCUUCUCUCAUCCUAUAUAAGCCCAUGAAGAGGGUCAUUUGAAGCAUCUUGUGACACUAGGCUCACUUAGGCACCUUAGUGUCACGGACUUAGUCGUUUCCUAAGCUCGUGCGGCACUUAGGCAAAUCAAGACACUUGAUCUUGCUAAAUCAGCCUUACCCCCGACACUUAGCUUGCUAGGCUAAGAUGCUCAUGACUCGGAAGCUUGAGAAGUUGUAGUAGGCAACUCCUUAAAGAAUGGAAGCUCUUAUUACUCAAGGAAGCCUUUACAAGUGCUUGGAAGCUCACUUGCUUGGUUAGGAAGUGAUUUGGGUGGUGCCUUGGCCAAAUGAGGCCCUCACCUAUUUAUAGGCACCAAGGGAACUCUCUAGAACCUUGGAGGGUCCCCUUACAAAUCAAGAAUAUUCUAGAACAUCCUACCCUAUUCUAUGUACAACCUUAUGUACAAGAAUAUACAAGAGAUUCCUAGAACUCUCUAGAAAGCCUUGGACUCCUCCCAUGCCUUCCACCAUAGUGUAGAGAUGUGUGGACAUCUCUAGGCAUUUCUAGAACCUUCCACACUCUUCCCACCAAUGGCUUAGUGUAGAUGGCUCCAGGAGUCUCCAGAAGCUUCCCUCCUCCUAUAUAAGCCCAUGGGGAGGGUCAUUUGAAGCAUCCUGUGACAUUAGGCCCACUUUGGCACCAUAGGCCCACUUUGGCACCAUAGGCCCACUUUGGCACCAUAGACCCACUUAGAUACACUUGGCCCAUUAGGCACCACCUUAGGCCCACUUGGGUUCACCUUGACCCGCUUAGAUUUACCUAAACACCUUCCAUAUUUCACACAUUUACCCUAGGUUACUUAGGCACUUUUUCAUAAUAGGUCACUUAGACACUUCUUUUGGCAUAGUUCACUUAGACAUGUUCUUGAUUUUGGUUACUUAUUUUUUCGAGAUAAGAUGAGUAUUGGCUUGACUUUUUAUUGCAUGAAAUGAAUUUUUAAUUUUUGAUGGUUUGAGUUUGACGUUUAAAUUAUUAUAAUUCGUUGCACUAAUUUAAUUUCUUGAUUUUUUUUAAUUGAAUACGUCUAAUAUUUAUUUUUUAUACCUUUAUCAAUUUAUUAGUCUAUUUACUUAUUUAUUCAUUCCUUAAUUCCACAAAUUGAUAUCUUGGAUUUUGUGGCUAUAUGAUUUGACAUUUUUUUUUAUUAUUUUAUUUGAUUCCAUUUUAAUCUUGACUUCCAAUUACAUGAUUUCUUAUUUCAAUUUUUAUUUUGGAAUUUUUUAUGGGACGGGGAGCUAUCAAGGAGAGGCUAAAUAAAGAGACUUGGAAGAUAUCCUGGAAGUCUUUAGAAGGAAGGUAUGGAGUAGCAUUUUGGAAAGAAAAAUCAGGCUGAAAGAUUCGAUAUGUUUUUAGGGAAUGAACAAAGGCUGAAUGGAGGAUAAAAAAGGAGAUUGAGAUUGUUAGAAAAAAGAAAGUUGCAGGUAUCAUGGAGAUUGCGCUGGAAUGGAAGAGAAAAAAACCUCAUGAUUGGCAAGAUUUUGUUGGAAUUAUUACUCUACUUUUCAAGAAUUCAACAGGAAGUUUUAUAAAGGAGAACAAUGUCGGUGAGGGCUGCUGGGUUCUCAUGGCUCGUCUUGCACCCGAAGCCAAGGUCAUUCGAGAUGGAAAAUAGAGUGAGGAGGAUGCAUCCGUUCUUAUUCCCAGUGAUAUAAUCAGUAUUAAACUUGGAGAUAUUCUUCCUGUAAAUGCUCGUCUUCUUGAUGGUGAUCCAUUGAAAAUUGACUAGUCUGCACUUACAGUGCUCAAACCCUAUGGUGGGUCAAUCCGGGUUUAGCAAAAUUGAUCCAUUUUAAAGGUUUGAUUGGUGGAUUAGCGGCAAAAACUAGUUUUCAUUUGUGGGUUUUGUUUGAAAUGGUCUAUUUUCAUAGUUCAAUUUCGGGUUGCAACUCCGUUGACCAGUCGGGAAUCAUGGAAAGUUAUUUGAAUUAUGGCGAGGCUUGUUCUAAAUUAAGGUAGAAUAAUCAUGCAUGCAGGAAUAGGAAGAUUCCAAAUUCUCCUAAUUCAGUGAAAAUUCCAGACUACAGUCGAUCUCGAUCGGUUGUGAUAGAUUUGGGGAUGUUGAUUGUGGUGGUUGGUGCAUGUGGGUUUUUUGUUAUUCCCCUAUGUGAAGGUUAGAGCUAAUGAAUUUGUUAAGCUUGUUGGAGCAAUCAUAUAUUUGAUGAAGAAGAAAGUCUUUUUGGUUCUUAAUGAUGUUCUUCACUUCAUUGACAAGGAUCUGGUUUAGCAGCAUGCCUUCAGGACAUGUGACUCAAGCCUCAAUCUCUUGCAGUCACGUGAUUUUUUUUGUCAUGUAGUCUGGAAAGAUCUUCGCCCAUGAAGAUGAUCAUUCCUUAUGUUGUGAGCGUGGAGAUACAUUUAAUUCCAUCUUAAUUCAACUUUCAGCAGACACUUCUUUCAGAAGGCUUUCAUGGAGGAAAAAUGGGAGAACUCGUAUAAGAAUGGAGAGAGAAAGAGGCUCUCUUAACUCUCCAAGUCUCAACACCACACCACCAUAAUUUUAGUUUGAAGAAGACACAAUCGGACUUCGGUUUAGAAGGGGGUUGUCGGUCCAUCAAGAGGGUGACAUGAAAGAGCUUGAGGCGGCAUUAAUCAAAUCAAGAUUCGUGGCAAGACUAUGGCUGCUAUACUGAGUCGGAUGUUUUCCAUAUGGGUUUGUUCUUUUUCAUGAAUUUGUUGUUGGUUUAGCGUCUCCAAUUUUCAAUUUGGUAGAGGCUGCUCAAGAGUCCCUAUCUGAAAUCGUUCCAGUUGGUCAAUCACAUGUUGCUAUUCCAUGCUCAAAUAUAGAUAACAACAACCAGUUGUUUCUGCGAGAUGUGUCAAUUUGUAACAAGGGUUGCUCUUCUAAAGGACCUAUGGUUUAUGGUUUUAUAGAUAUUUUCAACGGCACUGGAGACUCAUGGCACUGGGAUUUUGAAAUGGAUGGAACUACUUACAGAACGUUGUAAUCUGUAUAGUAGAAUAUAAAACAGAAAACCAAUGUGCAUGGCAACGGUUUCUAUUUUCGGGUCUGAUUGCACUAUUGCCGGUGGGUGGUAAGUUUGGCAAUAUCAUUUGGACCAUGAACCCAAAAGAACCAUCAGCCUAUAGAGAAAUGAAUGAGAAUGAUUUUGUGAAGGCCUUAAACCAUGCUUUGAAUUAUGGAUAUGGUCCUCAUCCUCGGUCAAACUUAUUGGGUAAUAAUGGAGACAUAUUUUCUUGGUUUAGAAGAGAUUUGAUAGUUUCAGCUAAUGAGUGCUUUGAGUUUCCACCGGAUGUGGUUAAAUUGAUAUCUGGAAUAAUGAUGUUUCCAUUGUCCUUAAGGCAUGCUAAUAAUUAUGCAGCCACACAUGGAAGGAUGAAGCCACCUUCCAAACACUAGCCUCACCAAAAAAAGAAUAGAUCUCCACGUAUUCUCUAGGAAAAUGACAUGUUGCUAAUGGGGGACCUUUUCAUAUUUUUUUUAUUUAAAAGAAAGACACAGUCCACUUUUGGGGAAUCCGAGACAUGGGCUGCAAUUGGUGGAGAUACAAGCACACAUUAAUAAGACCAUAUCAUCAUGAGUCAAGAGGGGACUUGCACCAUUCACUACAAGAAAAAAGGUCAUUGUUGACAUAUAUUAUCUUGACUUAAGGUGAUAUGUGUCAAUGUUGCUUAUUUUAAUGAACAACUAUGACAUAUACAACUUGUUUAAACCAAUAAUGACAUAUAUAAAAUUUGUUGAAUUCUUUCAUGACUUAUAUAAUAGAAUCUUGACAGAUAAUUUAUAAGUCAAUGUAUUCAAGGUACUUAAAUAAAAGCAAUAAUGAUAAUAAUUUGUUUGAUAUGUGUAUAUCUAAAUUACUUACUAAGUAUUAUAAAUUGAAGUGACAACAAUCAAUUUUGAUUAAGGAAGUUAAUAUUUUAUAAAUUUUUUUAGUAAUGUUAAUAUCAAUUUUCAUUAUGAGUUUAAUAUAUAAAAAUUAUUAUUAGAAGAUGAAAUAAAGAAUACUAUUUUUAAUUUAUUGAAAAAGGACAUGUGCGGUAUUUUGGAUUUUGUUAUAAAAUCCUAUAAAAAGAUAAAGGAAGGGACGGAAAGACAUAUUUCAUACUUCAACAAGCCUUUACCAUUUUCUUUACUGAAAACCCUAAAUUUUCACUCUCCAUUGAAAACCCUAACUUUUGGAAGACAAGAAAGAAGGGAGAAAGAAGGGAGAGAGCCACCGUUCUUAGAGAGAAAGAAGAGAAGAGAAAAAUGCAGGUUUUUUUUCAUCUUGCCCAGAUUUCAUCAAAGGUCUGAUCCCACUUCGUCCGUGGUCCGAUUGAGCUAAAAUUUGGAGGAAAGUUUCAUGACUCAUUCAUCUUCAAUCUGAACGGUGAGGAUCGGAUUUGGAGUUUUGGAAAGUCAUUAGAAAGAAAGAGGAGAAGAGAGAAAAACGCAGGUUUUUCUCAUCAUACCUAGAUUUCAUCAAAUGUCCGAUCCCGCUUCGUCCGUGGUCGGAUCAAGUUGAAAUUUGGAGGAGAGGUUCGUGGCUCAUGUAUCUUCAAUAUGAACGGUGGAGAUUGGAUUUGGAGUUUCGGACAGUCAUUAGAGAGAAAGAGGAGAAGAGAGAAAAACGCAGGUUUUUUACAUCAUGCCCAGAUUUCAUCAAAGUUACGAUGCCACUUUGUCCAUGGUCUGAUCGAGCUGAAAUUUGGAGGAGAGGUUUACAGCUCAUUAAUCUUAAAUUUGAACGGUGAAGAUCGGAUUUAGAGUUUUGGAAAGUCAUCUUUCGGCCAAAAAUAGAACCUUUGUUUUGGUGGGCUUUUCUCUCCGAACUAUUUUGAUCAUUAGCUUUAAUCGAGGUCAAUUCGUGGUCCGAUUGAGUUGCAAUUUUAGGAGCACUUUUAGGACGCAUUGAUCUUCAUUCUAACAGUGGAGAUUGGAUUUGGAGUUUGGAAAAAUGGUAUUUCAGUCCGAGAACCUUGACAAAAGUGAAAGAAACAUUGACAUAUGUCAUAGUAACAAAGAUUUGAUCAUUGGUAGAAAUAGAAACAACCUUGACAUAUGUAAAUGUCAAGGUAGAUUUAAACUUUUCUUGACACUGGCAUAGAUGACAUAUAUAAAUAGUAACAUACCUUGACAGAUAUACCUUACCUUGAUGGUGAAAAAAUGUUAACGAAAGGCUUUUUUCUUGUAGUGAUUGAAUUUUUCUGAAGCUAAAACCCAACAACACGCACAGAUUUUGGAGAAGAUAGCCAUGCCAGGAAGAGUGGCAGCAAUUAGAAACCUACAGCUUCAGUACAUCUCUUAAGGCUACUACAAUUGAAGAGUUUUGUGGAUCCCGCAUUUUGACUCAUGCGUUUUCCACUUGAUGGCGAGCUCGAUUUUUAUUUUGAAAAUCUGAUUCAUUUAUUUUUGAAAAAAAUUGACUUGGAGUCGCCACUUAUUUUUGUUUUAUUUUUGGAGGGUAAACAAAAUAAGAAAGAAAAACCUUAAGUGAGACUCCUUAUUUGGAAAAGGUGAUCUGCGAAAAACCGGAUCAUGUUCGGGGGUCAGGUUACUUAUCAGGAAGGUAUGGUAAAGACCGUAGCACCCCUCUAAGUCCCUAAAGUCGGGUCUCUACUAAUAAAAUGAAGCAAUCAUGACAAUUGAUGAGGGAAUCAAUGAAUACUCAGAGUGAUCAUGCACGUACGAGAGUUUGAAUAUGCAUAGACAAUGACCGAAGUGAAAGUAGGUGCGUACCUGGGCAGUGAUCCAUAAAGCGCUAUCAAGAAGUGAGGUUAGUGCGCAAUUAAGGAAUAAUUUCGAGCAUGUCAUAGAGCAGAAUAAAAUCAAUCAUGCAUGGCAAUUAAAUCAAUCAAUCCUCCAAUUGAUCAUAAAAUCACGUAUGUGGGGCCCCCACCAAAGCCCGAUCAAUCUUGCAUGAAUUAAUCUCACAAAUUUCAUUAUUCUGAAAUUAUGAAAAUGACAUUUACGCUUAUAUAAAACUGUUCGAGUGAAAACAGGAUUUUUGAAAUUUAUUUGAAAAUUGAAGUCCCGAAGAUUAUCUGAUAAUUGGAGCCUUGGGAAUUGAAUUUAAGAAUGAGAAUUUUGGAUUUUAAAUUUGAAGGAAAUUAGAAUUUUGGGAAUCGGAAAUUAAGUUCAGGAAUUGGAAUUUUGAAAAAAUGUUGAAAAAUGAAAAUUUAAAAUAAACAAAUAAAUGGAACAACAAUAAUAAGGACGAAAAUAAUGAUUAAGUAAAUGAAUGAAAAUAUCGGAAUUUUUGAAAUUGGAAAUUAAAUUCGAAAGUCGGAAAAUUGGAAUUGUUUGAAGAAGGAAUUUUUGAAAUAGAAUAAUAAUACUGACGAAAAUGAUGAUUAAAUAAAUUGAUGUGAGAAUUAAAAUUUCGGAAAUUGGAAUUAAAAUUUAUUGAGGAAUUAAUGUUUUAAAGAAGAUAAGUCAUGCAAAUUGAAAACAAAAGGGCUAACUUGAGGUGGGUAUGGGCUUGGAAUGGGCAUAGGCUAACUUAAGGUAGGUGAACAAAUCAACUUGAAGUGAGCAUGGGCUUGGAAUGGGCAUGGGCCAAUGAGGGUGGCUAGCAUAGGGGGCAUGGGGCCUUUCAUCAACAUGCUUGGGUGGGGCUCCAACUCAAGCCCAAACCCGUCACCAAGAGCAUAGGUCUGGGCUCCAACUUAAGCCCAAGGCACCAUCACCAUAAAAGCUUGGGGCUGGGCCCCAACUUAAGCCCAAGGCACCAUCACCAUCAAAGCUUGGGCCUAGGUGUAGACCCUCAAUUUUGUUCCUUUAGCACAUGUCUUUAAAUUCAUUUUUAAUGCUCCAUAGUAACUCCUUGGUGGCCCAUUACCACUCGUACAACUUACUUUUUUCUGAGUCACCUCGGAGACUUCGGUCGAGGGAUUAUCUGACCCUUUAUUGUGAGCCUUGGCAACCCUAAUUUAGACUUAGGCUUUUGUUAUUCUUUUUAGGAUAACUUUUAGAUACACCUGACCCAUUAGACACCACCCUAGGCCCACCUAGAUUCACCUUGACUCGCACUGAGACACCUCCUCAUUUACACACAUGUCACUUAGGUCACUUAGACACCUUUUUCAGAACAGGUCCAUUUAGACAUUUCAUUGAGGCUCGGCAUUUAUUUAUUUAUUUAUUUUAUUUAUUUUAUUUUAUUUUAUUUUAUUUAUUUUUUUAAUAUUAUUAUUAUUAUGGCAUGCAUUUGGUAAUUACAUUUAUUUUGUCUAUUUAUUUUUACUUUUACUUUUAUUAUUUACUUAUUCAUGUAUUUAAUUGUCUUUAUAUAUUUCAUUUUAUUUAUUUGUAUUUAUUUAUUUAUUUACUUAAUGAAAAAUUGUUUGAAUUGUUAGAUUUAAAAUACGCAUAUAGCCCCUUUAUCAAAUGACAGAAUUGUACAAUCUAAUAUUUGAUUUUCUCUUUCAUUCUCUUUUAAUCAUAUUUCAUUUUAUUACCAAUUUCACGACUUUCAUUAAUUUCUCAUCUUUUCCUUUAAUUUUAAUUUUAUUUUAUUCUGUUUUUGCAUGAGGAGAAAAAUUGCAUGGGAUUUCUUCGGGAAGAUUAUGAGCAAGGCAAAGACGUACAUGCAGCAAUGAGGAUUUGAGAAGCCAUCUACACAAAAGAAACACAAGGAUUACACUUGUAUGAGAGCUGUAAACUACGGGUUACUGCUAUUGAUCAAUACCAACUAAGCAGAAUUUCUUGUUUCAUGAGGAAAAUCAUGUCUGGAUCAGAUCAUUCCUCUGGUUUUGACCAGCUAAGGUUGAUGGUCAAGAAGGUCUUGGCCAAGCCUCAACGUGAGGGUGAGGGUGUUGUUGUUAGGAGGAGCAUUGGAAAGAGUGAAUUGAAAAAACCUGGAUCCUUUUCUCAUGUUGGAUAAGUUCGCAGUCGCACCACUUGCUGGUUUUCCGGAUCAUCCACACAGAGGCUUUGAGACUGUUACAUACAUGCUGCAGGGAGCUUUCACUCAUCAAGAUUUUGUAGAGCAUAAGGGCACAAUCCGAAUAGGAAAUGUGCAGUGGAUGACUGUAGGCAGAGGCAUAAUCCACUCUGAAAUGCCCGUAAGUGAAGGAACCCAAAAGGGAUUACAGUUUUGGAUCAAUCUAACAUCCAAAGAAAAAAUGAUUGAACCAAAUUACCAAGAAUUGCCAAGUGAAGACAUCAAAAGAGCAGAGAAAGAUGGCGUUAAAGUCUAGGUCACAACUGAGGAAGAGCAGCCCGCAAGGUGGGAGGACCCACAUACAUUCACAGAGAAUAAUCAAAAGGAGCCACGUAGGUAGGGUUGCCGGGGGAAUAAAAAAUUUGGACUGCUCACACCUUAGGAGCCUCUACAGAUGGAACGCACCACAACUUGGAAAAAGGAGGCUGCAGUACUUUGGAGGGUGAUCAAGAUUUUAAUUUAAAAAGCCAGAACUUUCCGCUCUCUCUCUCUAAACCUUCUCGCCUCUGUUCAUUCCGCCGACGGCCAUAGCAAUGUACUCUCUGCUCAGAUUCGCCGUUUAAGGAUGUUCGGUUCUUUGACGAUAUUCGGAUCUUUGACGCUGCGUUUUCUGAUUCCCUAUUGAGAGUUGUAAUUCGGGUCCUCAUUUGACACAUCAACCGUGGAGUUGUUUUACUUUCUUUCCGGAAAUCCAAGAAAAUCAAGUAUUCAAUGCUUCGGGAAUGUUUAAGAAAAAACAAAUAGUGCCUGAUAAGCUAUUGGUGAUUUCGCUGUAGACCUAGAUCGUAGAUUUCUAGGGAAGUCUGAGAAAAUCCAGUUCAACCCGGUCACUCCAAUCAACGGCUGAUGAUGCAGUUACUAGGAUUUGGACACUUACCAAAUAAGACACGACUGCAUCCUCGAGGGAAUCUCCCAAUGAGCCACCAUGUAUGCACUUUCCAUAUCCAUGUGCAUUAAAAAGGGAAAUAGAAUAUCCAAUAGAAGGAAGGUGCUGCCAUAUAAAUAAGGGUCAGAGAGAACACGCAAGGGACUUUUCUUUUUUUUGGUGGAGAGAUCAAGACAUAAAGCAGAUUUCUUCCAGAGAGGACGGAGACAGAUUUUUUUUUAGAGAGAUCCACAGCAGAGGAGAUAUUAUUUUGCUGAAACAAAAGAAGGAUUUUUGGCAGGAGAAGGAGAAAGGUGAGAAGAUUUUUUCUGGGAGAGCAGAGAGAUCCACACGGAGAGGGAAGCCACCUCAACGCAUCAAAGGCAGAUUUUUUUUUGAAUACAAGUGAGUUUUUGAAAUAGUUUUGAUUAUUUUUGUUCGUAAUUCAUAAGUCUAUGCUAUUUUUGUUUGAAUCCAUAUGAUAGUCAAAAUGUGUUUGUGGGUUUAAUUUAUUUAGUUUUGUCUUAAUUCACUCCUUAGUUUAAUUUUGUUAUUGAUUCUGAUUUCUUAGUUUAAUUAAUUGACCCUUUUUAGGUAUAAUUUAGGUUUCGAUUUGGUUUAUUAAUUUAUUCUAUUCAUAAUGUUAAUUCAAUUGUCUGAUUAAACCUUUAGAAAGAUUGCGUAUUGUUUUUCCGAUUUCGAUUAUUUUGAUUUGAUUCCUAUUUAAUUUUGAUUGAUUGCAUCAGAUUGGAAACAUUUGAGUUUUAUUUAUUCAUACAUUUGCUACUCUUUUAAUUACUUGUAUUUCAUUUAUUUAUUUAUUGAUGAAGUUGAUCCCAUAUUUGAAAGUUCAUAUUUUUAGUAUUCUUUGAUUUAAUGUGAUUCAUUUUAAUUAGUUUAGAUACUUUUAUAAUUUUAGUUCGUUAAUAAAAUUGAUUCUAUAUUAAAAGUUCAUGUCUUUAGUUUACUUUUGAUUGAGUUUGGUUCAUCAAUUUAGUUCAAAUACAUUUAUUGUUUUAGUUCAUUGAUAAAAUUGAUUUUAUGUUUGAAAGUUUGCGUUUUUAGGUUGCUUUAAUUUAAUUUGAUUCAUUAUAUUUAGUUUAGAUAUUUGUUAUAGUUUAGCUUGUUAAUAAAAUUGAUCCCAUGUUUGAAAGUUUCAGUUUUUAGUUUGCUUUGAUUUAAUAAUUUAUAUUCAUUAUUUUUAGGUGCUUAAUUCAUUAGUAAAAUUGAUCCCAUGUUUGAAAGUUCAUAUUUUUAGUAUUCUUUGAUUUAAUUUCAUUCAUUUUAAUUAGUUUAUGUGUUUUUAUAGUUUUAUUAGCUUAUUGAUAAAAUUGAUUCUUUAUUUAGUUCAUGUUUUUAGUGUACUUUGAUUUAAUUUAAUUCAUCUAUUUAGUUUAGACACUUUCACAAUUUUUGGUUCAUCAAUAAAAUUAAUUCUAUGCUUGAAAGUACAUAUUUUUAGUUUGCUUUGGUUCAUUAGUAAAAUUAAUUCUAUGUUUGAAAGUUCAUGUUUUUAGUUUAAUUUAGUCAAACUCUUUAUAAUUAGUUUAGGUACUUCUAUAAUUUUAGUUCCUUACCCAAAUUGAUCCAUUUUUAGUUUUUAUUUCAAAAUCAUCCUUAUCUUAGCUUAUAUGCUUUUAAAAUCCUAGCGGUUAGUUCAUGAAUUGAUACUUUGUUAGUUUGUCUAAUUUAGAAUGUCUUGCCUGUUAGUGAUCCUUCAUUUAAUUUGAUUUUUUUUUUUCUGAGGCCAUUGGAAAAUCAUGAAGAUUGGCCUCUACCAUCACCAUUAUCAUUUUUAUUACUUACUAAAAAAAAAUUUUACUUUGAGUUUUCAUUUUUGUUUUGUUUGGUAUUUUAUUUUUUUCCAAAUUAAUUCCUUUUAUUUUAAAAUAAAAUACUUUUCUCAAAAAAAUCAUUUUAAAAAUCUAUUUCAAAAACUCAUUAGAGUCCUCAGGAUCAAAAUCUCCUUUUUUUUUUUAUUAUUUAAAAAUAAUAUGCAACCAUAUCUUGUUCGGUUUGCAUCCUUCUCGGUUUUCAACAAAAAUUUUGGUUUUGAACGAAGACACGAAUCAAAGCUUGUGGUCCCACAUAAAUGAGAUAAUUCUGAGCUAAAUUCGUGUAUAUCAAUUGGGGAAUUAGUGAAACCCCUACAUUAGAAAAUCUUUUCAAAAAUUAUUUUUGUUGCCACUUUUGUCACUUGUUGAAAUUAUGUCUAUCUUUUUUUAGAAAUUGUAUACAAGAUGAGUGUGAUAAUUAUUGUCUUCAUAUACUUUGAUAAUUUCUGCUAUGAUAAUUAGAUAACGAGCAUGCUAGGAUUUCUAUAUUUUAUUAUUUAUUAUCUAACCCUUUACAAGUUGAGGAAGCACGUUACAAAUUAUCUAUGCUAUCCAGGUAUGUCCACUAUCAUCUACUUUCUGAAUUCUGUGAAUAUGCUGGUCAUUGUGAAAUAAUGCUUAUGUCUAAUAAUGCUUGAGCAUUCUGUUAUACAUGUUUCAUUGUUUGAUUAUUCCUAAUAAAAUACACGUUGGAUGAUAUAUUGUUUAAAUUAACCAUUUAUGUUUUAUGAUAGCGUUUGAAGAGUGGUUCAGGUACGCACCCUAACUCUCCUUUAUUAUAAUUUGAUUGUGUUUGGCAUGCCACUCUUUAAAAUCACCUAACCUAUUUAGGUAUCUAUAAUUAACUGAUUAAUUGCCACACUUCCCUUGACUUUAUCAGUAGAGACCUUUAGAGGGCUUAGAGGGGUGCUACCUUUUAAAGGUACCUUUCCAAUAGGUAACCUGAUCCCCGGACUUAAACUCAGGUUUUUCAAAGACAUGCUUUUUCCAAAAAUUAUGGAGUCACAUUUAGGGUUUUUCUUUCUUGUUUUAUUUUCCCUUUAAAAUAAAAAUAAAAUAAGUGGCGGCUCCAACUUUUUUUUAAAAUUAAUUUUUCACAAAUAAAAAAGCGAGUCUCGCCGAUCGAGUGGGGACACACGUGAAAAAUGCGGGUCCACAAAUUGGCGACUCCACUGGGGAUUCUUGAGGAUCAAGCUUGAACACUAGUUGAGGAAAAUGUGGCGUUUAAUUGGUCGAUUAGUGGAUACCUCUCUUUUUAGGCAAGGUGAUUUGAUUUGCUUGCUUGUUUGGUUUGCUAUCUUAACAUGUUUGAUUUGCCUUGGAUGAUCACUUGAUUGUUUUGCUCACUUAGCAUGAUUCACUCUCACAUAUGUUAGAUAGGACUUUGUUUGUUUGAUAUUUAUUUGAUUCGCAUGACUGUUUGAUGUGAUCACUUAACUGUUUGCUCACUUUAGCAUGAUUCACUCUCACAUAUGCUAGAUAGGACUUUGAUUGUUUGAUAUUUAUCUGCUACGCAUGGCUGCUUGUUGCAUGAAAACCCUUUCUCUUGCAUGUUCAUAUGAUUGCUUGUCUUCAUUCACUAUCUCACUUUAGAUCUUAGGUUUUUCGGAUGCACCCACAUCCUUCAUUGUGCACUUUAGAUUAUCCCUGAGUGUUGAGAGAUGGGAGAGCCUUCACCAUUAAGAAACCCCCUGGGAAAGCGAGAAAGUGCAUGUGUGGAGGUGAUGACCACCUUGCAUGGAAGCACCCCGUCUCCUUGGAGGCGUGCAGAGGGUUGCGUACCGCCGGAGGGUACGAUCGCUUCUGCUAGGGAUCUUUGACCCACCCAUUUUAUCUUAUAGAGCCACUUUAACCUUGUAGGUUAGCCUAGACCCAAUUAAGAUUUCAUUCCUACACGUGGGUGCAUCUGUGGACCUUCAGAGCUGCCUUGGUCACAAUUGGAUUUGGUUAUCCCUUCCUUAGUCUCCUUUUGGUGUAAUCAGAGGAGGGUAUCAGAUUGAGUAUAUUUGGGCUUUGCUUCUACGCCUUUGAUUCAUACAGAGUCACAUUCGAGUUGCACCUUAUUCAGUGUUUCCAUAUUUGUAGGAGGGUUUACCGUGACCGAUCUGGAUUCACCUUUGUGGAUUAGAGUUGGAGGUAGAUUGAGCAGAGUAUCAGACCAGUCAGAUCAGAGAUCAGAUCAGAGGGAUAUGGACUCAUAGGUAGUUACUGUUGACCAGUUUGCCGUAGCCAUGGCUUCUAUCCAGGAGGUUAUAGCUAACCUUGGUCAGAGGAUAGAUGGACAGCAGACCCAGCAGGUCUUAGUUCAGGAGAGUACCCAGUUCGAUACCAUAGUACCGCCACCACCUCUGCCUAGUCAGUCAGUACCACAGGCUAUACCUUUCACUCUGUAUAGUCAAAUCGAGGUUGCCCCGCCUCCUAUCACAUCGCCAAUCCCGGCUUCAGAGGACCCACAUGCUCGUAUGGAUAAACUUGAGCAGAAGUUGAGACAGAUGAGGACUUCAGAGGGAGCUAUUACUUGGGAGGAUUUUGAUGGAGCACCAGUGGCCAGUCUAUCGGCCAAAUUCAGGAUGCUUGAGAUUGAGAGAUACACAGGCAUAGGAUGCCCUCGCAUCCAUUUGAGACUCUAUAGUACUGUUAUGAGGGCCCAUGGACUGGAUGAUGCCCGGAUGGUUAUGCUCUUCCCUAUGUCAUUGAGUGGAGCUGCACAGCGUUGGUUCGCUUCAUUGGAGGUAUCACGCCGUAGGACUUGGGAUGACUUAGCCCAGGAGUUUUUGAGACAGUUUGCAUUUAACACUGUCAUUGAUGUUUCGAGGAGAGAGUUGGAGGCUUUGAGACAGAGGCCGGAGGAGUCAGUCACUUCAUUUAUCUCCCGCUGAAGGGAGAAGAUUUCACAGAUUAUUGAUCGUCCUUCCGAGAAGGAUCAGAUUAGCAUGAUCAUGAGGAGCUUGCAGCCUAGAUUUGCUAGACACUUGAUGGGAUUUCCUCAUACGGAUUUUGGAUCUUUGGUACAAGCUUUGUAUGGUAUAGAGGAGGGCAUUGCUAGAGGAUUGUGGUCCGAGUCUUCUUCUAUUGAUCCUAAGGGGAAGAGGCCUUUAGGAGGACAGAGAUCAGGAGAUGUUGGUGCUAUCAGUUCAGCAGGGAUAGACCUUCUAGACGCUAUCAGACAGUUGGGCAGACUCCUGGGUACUACUAUCCACCUUCACCCCAUGUGUAGUAUAGGCCACCUGUUCCCUCCAGACCUAUGACUCCUACCUAUCUACAUCCAGUCUCACAACCUGUUUUCGCUGCACACGUCGUAGAGAGGCCUCCUGCCCCAUAUAUUUGACCCCGAGCUCCGCAGACCACUACUUAUGUGCAGAGACCACCACGCCAGUUUGCUCAGUUGGGUAUGCCUUUGAGUCGAGCUUUUCAGAAGCUCGCAGAAGGUGGAUUAUUGACUCCAUUAGCAUCCAGGCCUUUACCCCAGCCCAUACCACCUCGCUUUAGGAUGGACUUACGUUGUUCCUACCAUCAGGGACCAGGGCAUGACACGGACCAUUGCACUGCUUUGAGACAUGCUAUUCAGGAUUUGAUAGAUCAGGGUUUGGUCAACUUGGGGCAGCCAAGUGUGACCACUAACCCUCUUCCUGCUCAUUCUACACACGCAGUGCAUCCAUCUUCAGGAGAUAUUCAUCACAUGGACCUUAUAGAGGAUGACAGUAUACACUUGUUAAGUUGGGAUGAUGGAUUACCCGAGCCGAUUGUUUUGCAUGACAACUAUGAGGUUGAUGGGGUUUCAGUGGUCCCUCAAACUCCUGCACCAUUCAGUUUGAUCCCGGACGAGGCACCAUUCCAGUUGACUCAUUCUACACCCUUAGUUAUCGGAUGUCAGGAUGCUUUUGUCCCGUUCACUUUAUGGCCAGAGGAUGAUGAUUCAGCAGGGAGAGAGAUACAGAUUGUGACUCGUAGUGGGAGGAUAGCUCAGCCACCACCACCAGCAGUCAGACCAUUUGAGGGUACAACCUCUCAUGAGGAGGUUAGGAGAGAGGAUGAUGAGGUUUUGAGACAGCUACAGAGCACUCAGGCUCGCAUUUUCAUCUGGAGUUUAUUAGCAUCAUCCAGUACUCAUAGAGAUGCUUUGAUUCGAGCCUUGAGUCAUAUCAGAGUAGAGACUACCACCACUCUAGAGGGAUUGAUUCAUAUGAUGACGGCUGGCAGGGCCACUUGCAUUGUAUUUUCAGAUGAUGACUUGCCACCUGAUGGUUUAGACCACGUGCGCCCUUUAUACAUCACAGUGGGAUGUUCAGGCCAUAGAGUCCCGUCUGUCCUACUGGACAACGGCUCAGCCCUGAAUGUUUGCCCUUUAGCCACUGCUAUAGCCCUUGGUUUCGCGCCUUCAGAUUUUGGUCCUUCUACACAGACAGUCAGGGCGUAUGAUAGCACCAAGAGAGAGGUUAUGGGUACCUUGGUGAUUGAUUUGCAGAUUGGUCCAACCACAUUUUCCACUUUGUUCCAGGUUUUGAGGAUUCCUACAUCCUUUAACCUGCUACUGGGCCGACCAUGGAUUCAUGUAGCUGGAGCUAUUCCUUCUUCUCUUCAUUAGAAGGUGAAGUUCAUUCAUGAUGGGCAGGUUAUCACAGUACAGUCUACCAGGGAUAUGUUAGCCUCUUCCGAGCCAGUACUUCAGAUUAGUCAUAGUGAGGAUGACCUAUUUUUGACUGGAUUUACUUUUGAUGAGAUACAGACUCUUGAGAUUGAGGAUUUUCAUAGAGACUUUGUGGCUAUGUCGUUUGAUCAGCACAGUAGCACAGUGGUCCUUGAUAUGAUGAGGGGUAUGACCUUUCUACCUGGCAUGGGGUUAGGACGACGUCAGCAGGGACCGAGCGAGUUCAUAGCUGCCAUUGACCAUGAUACGACAUUUGGACUUGGAUUCAUCCCUACUGAGGUCGAUUACCGUCACAUGGCGCGGCUGCGCAAGGAGAGGGUGAGAGCCCGUUUAUCCCACACACCAUUUGAUUAUCCUAUUCGACCCUAUAGGAUGAGUUUGGCUGACUACUUUGUUAGAGGAUCAGAGACAAGACCUCGUCUAGAGGAGAUUGAUAGUGUGGUUCAUACAGAUAGAGAGACCGAGCUUCAGCAUCUAUUUCACCAGCUACAGUUGAGUGAUGGGGCUACCGACACUUCUUUCCCUGUGGCGAUUACUCCCACGUCUCCAGAUUGAGCUAGCAUGUUGUCUCUAUGCUUUCCAGAGGAGAUCACGAGUGAUGGGGUGAUUGUUGAUCCUACUGAGGUGAUUGAUGGAGUUGUUCCCCAUGAUGAGUACGGUGAUGAGAUGGACAUGAUGACCGUGAGCCAGAUUAUCGGCAUUGUUCAGCUUCAGCCUGUUUCAGCAUUUGAUAUGUUUGGGGUAUCUACUAUUGAGGUUUUUGAGGGGACUCAGACUCUUCCUGUUCCAGAGCUUCCAGAGGAUGAUGGUAGUUUGUUUGAGGGCAUUGUUAGCCUAGUUGAGGGAGCGUCCGACCUUGUGGACCCACCUCUUUCUUUUGAUGUUUUAUCGGGAUUUGUCUCCCGCUCUGACGAUGUUUCUGUUGCUUCAUUUAUGGAUUUGAGUAUUUUUGAGUAUUCGCCUGUCUCUUGUGAUAGUAUCUCUACAUCUGCACCUCACUCACCCAUCACACAGAUAUUUGAUAUAGAUGAUGAGAUUGCACAGCCCAGUUUGGAUAGGGACUCUUUUGAUGAUGACUCUGAUCCCAUAGAUGAGAGAGUUUUAUCUGCUGCAGGGGACGUUGAGACUGUUGAUUUUGGCACAGAGGAUCAGCCUAGAGAGCUGAAGAUUGGUUCACCCCUAUCUACAGAUGAGAGAGAUAGACUCAUCCAUUUACUCAGGUCAUACUUGGAUGUCUUUGCAUGGUCUUAUGAGGACAUGCCAGGUCUUGAUCCCUCUAUAGUCCAGCACCAUUUACCUACCCUACCACAUGCUAGACCAGUUAAGCAGAAAUUGAGACGGUUGCAUCCACGUUGGAGUCUACAGGUAAAAGAGGAGAUUCAGAAACAACUCAGUGUUGGGUUCAUAUCAGUAGUUGAGUAUCCAGAGUGGUUGGCUAAUGUUGUCCCUGUUCCUAAAAAGGACGGAAAAGUUAAGGUUUGUGUUGACUUCAGAGAUCUCAAUAAAGCCAGCCCUAAAGAUGACUUUCCCCUUCCACACAUUGAUUUGUUGGUUGAUGGCAACGCAGGCCAUUCGAUGUUGUCUUUCAUGGAUGGGUUUUCAGGAUAUAAUCAGAUUUUGAUGGCUCCAGAGGAUAUGGAGAAGACAACCUUUAUUACUGAGUGGGGUACCUACUGUUACAGAGUUAUGCCAUUUGGGUUGAAGAACGCAGGAGCCACUUAUCAGAGAGCCGCUACCACUUUGUUUCAUGACAUGAUGCAUAGGGAUGUCGAGGUUUACGUGGAUGAUAUGAUUGUGAAAUCCCGAGGUAGAGCAGAUCACCUAGAUGCUUUAGAGAGAUUCUUUGAGAGGAUCUGGAGGUUUAGAUUGAGGUUGAAUCCCAAGAAGUGCACCUUUGGAGUGACUUUUGGGAAAUUAUUGGGGCAUAUGGUCAGUGAGAGAGGCAUAGAGGUCGACCCAGAUAAAAUCAAAGCCAUACUUGACAUGCCUGCACCAAAGACUGAGAAAGAGAUCAGGAGUUUUCUAGGCAGAUUACAGUACAUCAAUCGAUUCAUAGCCAGAUUGACAGACAUAUGUGAGCCUAUCUUUCGUCUUUUGAGGAAGAACCAGCCAACAGUUUGGAAUGAUGACUGUCAGUUUGCAUUUGAGAAGAUCAAGGAGUAUUUGCUUUCCCCUCCUGUUUUAGUACCUCCUACGCCAGGACGUCCACUUCUUCUAUAUUUGUCAGUUUCAGACAUGGCCUUGGGAUGUAUGUUAGCUCAGAUUGAUGACUUAGGAAAGGAGCGAGCUAUUUACUACCUAAGUAAGAGGAUGUUGGAGUAUGAGAUGAAAUAUGUUAUGAUUGAGCGCCUAUGCUUAGCACUAGUUUGGGCUACCAGGAGAUUGAGGCAUUACACGAUAGAGUACUCAGUACAUUUGAUAUCCCACCUGGACCCGUUGAGAUACUUGUUUGAUAGACCUGCUGUGGACCCGCAUUUUUCACGUGCGCCCCAACUCGAUCGGCGAGACUCGCUUUUUUAUUUGUGAAAAAUUAAUUUUAAAAAAGUUGGAGUCGCCACCUAUUUUAUUUUUAUUUUAAAGGGAAAAUAAAACAAGAAAGAAAAACCCUAAAAAGUGACCCCAUAGUUUUGGAAAAAGCAUGUCUUCGAGAAACCCGAGUCUAAGUCCGGGGAUCAGGUUACUUAUUGGGAAGGUACCUCUAGGAGGUAGCACCCCUCUAAGCCCUAAAGAGGUCUCUACUGACUAAGUUAAGGGAAGCGUGACAAUUAAAUGGUUGAUCAUGGAUACCUAAGUAGGCUAGGUGAUUUCAAAAAAAGUUGCAUGCUAAACAAGAUCAAAUCACAAUAAAGGAGAGUUAGGGUGCGUACCUGAACCGCUCUUCAAGCGCUAUCAUAAAACAUAAACGGUUAAUUUAAACAAUAUAUCAUCGAACAUGUAUUUUAUUGGAAAUAAUCAAACAAUGAAACAUGCAUAUCAGGACACUCAAGCAUUAUUAGACAUAAGUAUUAUUUCACAAUGACAAGCAUAUUCACAAAAUUCAGAAAGUAGAUGAUAGAGGACAUACCUGGAUAGCAUAGAUAAUUUGUAACGUGCUUCCUCAAGUUGUAAGGGGUUAGAUAAUAAAUAAUAAAACAUAGAAAUCCUAGCAUGCUCGUUAUCUAGUUAUCAUAGCAGAAAUUAUCAAAGUAUAUGAAAACAAUAAUUAUCACACUCAUCUUGUAUACAAUUUCUAAAAAAAAGAUAGACAUGAUUUCAACAAGUGUCAAAUGUGGCAACAAAAAUAAAUUUUGAAAAGAUUUUCUUAUGUAGGGGUUUCACCAAUUCCCCAAAUUGAUAUACACGAAUUUAGCUCAGAAUUAUCCCAUUUAUGUGGGACCACAAGCUUUGAUUUGUGUCUUUGUUCAAAACCAAAAUUUUUGUUGAAAACCGAGAAGGAUGCAAACCGAACAAGAUAUGGUUGCAUAUUAUUUUUAAAUAAAUAAAUAAAAGAAAAGGAGAUUUUGAUCCUGAGGACUCUAAUGAGUUUUUUUUGAAAUAGAUUUUUAAAAUGAUUUUUUGAGAAAAGUAUUUUAUUUUAAAAUAAAAGGGAUUAAUUUGGGAAAAAAUAAAAUAUAAGAAAUAAAAUACCAAACAAAACAAAAAUGAAACCUGAAAGUAAAAUUUUUUUUAGUAAUUAACAAAAAUGAUAAUGGUGAUGGUAGAGGCCAAUCUUCAUGAUUUUCCAAUGGCCUCAGAAAGAAAAUCAGAUUAAAUGAAGGAUCACUAACAGGCAAGACAUUCUAAAUUAAACAAACUAAUAAAGUAUCAUUUCAUGAACUAACCGCUAGGAUUUUAAAAGCAUAUAAGCUAAGAUAAGGGCGAUCAGGAACUAACAUUAAUGAUUUUGAAAUAAAAACUAAAAAGGGAUCAAUUCGGGUAAGGAACUAAAAUUAUAGAAGUACCUAAACUAAUUAUAACGAGUUUGACU